rnacentral:lncRNA from 1 species
UUCUAUGCAAGUUGCUCUCUCACAUGGUGAGAGUCCAUUCAAUCCACUCCACCGCCUGGUCUAUAAGCCUUGACUGACCAAACCCCAAAUACAAGACCUGCCAAUUCUUAUCGUUUUGGUUCGUAUGUAGUACCCUCCCCUAGAACCAUGAAAGUGACCACAAUACAAUGUCAUUGCAUAAGAAACACAUGUAGUAUGUAGGUUAAUAAGCUCGUUCAAAUUUAUUGACCAUAACUUUUAUUACACAUAUUUACAACGGCACCAUCUGCACAUAUACAAUGGAUGACAAAAUUUUCACAUUAAUAAUAUGAUUCACACGCCUAUCUUUAUCUUAUAAAUUAACUUACCACUUGUCCCUUGAUACUAGAGAGCGAAAUUGGGUACACAAGAAGGACGAAGUACUUUACUUCCUGUUCUUUCAACUACACCGUGAGGACAAGAAGGAGGCAGUCGAUAAUGGUCUUCACAGCGAGCAGUUUUGGGAGCAGAAAUGCCUUCGGGCCGGUGAGCUGUGGCACCACGUCCCAAGUUUCCACAAAUGCGAUCAGUCCGCCCAUGAACAAGGAUGCCUCCUUCAAUUUGUUGAGAAUGUGGGAGGCGGCGGAAAUUCCACGUUGGGCGGGUUCCGGCUCCUCCUGAAUGUUGACUGCCACAGCUCCUGCGAACUCAAGCUGAGCGGACUCGAGGUGCAUCUCCUCCGGCGAUUCUUGGGUAAUCUCGGGCUGCAUCUCCUUCGGCAAUUCUUGGGUAGUCUCGGGCUGACGGUGCAUCUCCUCCGGCGAUUCUUGGGUAAUCUCGGGCUACAUCUCCUCCGGCGAUUCUUGGGUAAUCUGAGCUGGCUGCAUCUCCUCCGGCGAUUCUUGGGUAAUCUCGGGCUGACGGUGCAUCUCCUCCGGCGAUUCUUGGGUAAUCUAAGAGAUGCAGCCCGAGAUUAGCCAACAAUUGCAGGAGAAGAUGCAACGUCAGCCCGAGAUUACCCAAGAAUCGCUCGGCAGAGCAUGGCUCGGAGCGCCAUUAAGAAGAUUUUCAAACCAACAACCAGUCGCCGUCUCAACGGACUCCAAAAGGGAGGAGUCCAUGGCAGCAAGCUUAAUUUUUAUUUUUGGGAAAAGCGUAAUUAUGUUUCUGAGUCAUAAAUUUUGAGUGCUAGUAAACCCACACUAUUGUCUUAUUUUCUCACCCACAUGAUAAUUUCACCCACCAUAAAAAAUUAAAAAAGUAAAAUGUAAUUUUUCCACCCACCAUUAUUUCCAAAAUAACCCUAAUAUAUAUAUUUUUUAUAUAACUCUAAUAUAUCUUUAAAUAAGAUUAUAAAUAAAUAAAUAAAAAUAGAAAAAAAUGAAAGAAAAUGCAAGACCUAAGACCUCGACAUUCAUCAUCUCCUUCACACCUAUCUUCGCCUUGCAGAGACCUCGGAUCCCCAAACCACUCUUUUUCCUCCUUUUUUGUCAAAGCCGCAUAUCUCACACCCAAGUCUCUUUUUCCUCCAUUUAAGUUUCUCGCCUUCAUCUAGCACACACUCAUUCCUUCCUCCAACCUUUCCGUCGAUUCUAACUCAAAUCUUUCCCAACCUCUUUCCACCAAAGAUAUCACACCUCACCCACCAUUAUUUAUUUAUUAUUUUUUGUUUUUUCAAAAUUUGUGUACUUAAUUAAAUAGAGGUUUAAGAGUCUUCUUUUAAAAGGAUAAAUAUGUUAUUAACAUUUUCAUUAAGUGGUGGGUGGGGAAAUAAGACACCGGGGUGGGAAUAUCAGCACUCUAAAUUUUUUGGGGCCACUAACUUUAUCUUCUUUUAUAUAGAAAGCCAGAGGUCGGUUUUGGUGUCACCGGCUUCGAAAUAAUUGGACAUAAAUGCCCCUCGGCCAAAAAAAAUUCCAAGCAGCAAAAAAGAAUGCAUAAAAUUAUUCUAGGGUAAUUUUGUCAUAAUCUUAAUGGCCCACAUCACAAACGUUUCGAAAUAAUCCCGCAGCAACGCGCGGGCAGCGUUUUCUAGUAUUUGCUACUGUCAUCACGUGGACCUCUGCAUGGGUCCUGAGAAUAUAAAAUAACAAAAAAAAAAAAAAAAAACCCCAAAAUAAGAGCCAAAACAGUAAUUGUGUUGUGUACAGUGACAAAUUAGAAGAAUUACUAGAUUGUUGGCUCUUAAACAAUAAAAUAUGAGACCGUUUUGUUAUUGAACUGUAUAAAAAUAAAUUGUUAGACACGUUAAAAUCAUUACGAAUUGCUUAUCAACUUGCUACAUUUGAUUGACUAAAGAACCUUGUUUUUUAACUGAAUUUGUAAAUAUGAAUACAAUAUAGUGAUUUAUAAUAUUAAAGAUAAAAAAAUAUAAAAAAAAACAAACAAAAACAAACAUUCCUCCGUAAUAUUUUAUUAAACUAUUCUAAUUAUGUAGAGAAUUCAAAGGAGUGCAUUUUUUGCUCACAACCCUCAAACGGUGAUAAUGUUCACUAUCUUAUUUAUCACAGUUACAUGAGCUAAAUUUUAAAAUUUAUGUCUAACCACUGUAAACCGAGUGUGAGCAUCACCAUAGUGAACAAAAAUAUUGUAAGUGGCAGGUUCGAAUUGGGCACGUAAACUCAUCAAUUGGCAAUCAUGUUGAGUCGCUCGGAGAAAAAAGUAAUUGGGCCUUGAAAAGUAAUUGGACCUUGAACCCAAUGGACUAAAAACUGAACCCAGAGUUGAAAGCAAUGGACUAAAAACUGAGCCCAGGCUUGAAACCAAUGCAAAAAUUUGGCGCAUCAUUUUCUGGGAAAAUUCGAGUGGUUGACGGAGAUAUAAGCCAUGAACAUAAUUAAGAGAAGCAAAGAAACUAUCCCUAAAACAACAACUUAUGAUCAAUCCAGAGAAAGAGCAUGCACGCCAAACAAAUCAGAAUCGUUUGGGAGAAUAUAUCUCUAUUUAUUCUAAUGCCAAAAUAAACAAAACAAUCUGAUUGUAGUGCUGAGGACAAUGCAUUGCUCAUUUCAUUUACUUGGAACAUUCAUUUACUUGUAUUUGGCCCUAUGUGCGAACUUUACUGGCGGAGCCAAAGAGAGACAAGAAUAGGCCCGGGCCUAUCCAACAUCCUUCAGAUUCCUUUUUAAUAAAAAUGGAUUAAAAAGAAAGAGAAAAUGGGAGUGUGAAAAUUACUACCAGUCUACCCUAAACAUCGUAUAUGAUUUUAUCACUAAGUCACCAGUAAGGCUAAUAUGGUAGGAAAAAUUUCCAGCUUUCUGGUAACAAAUAGCAAUAAAAACCACAUCCCACAAAAGAAGAAUUUUUAUUGAAUUAGGAUAAUAGGAUUUGACGAAUCGUUUGGAUCUAGUUUAGCUUAAUAAAUAAAUAAUAUGUAAUCCCCGAUUAGUUGUUUCCAAUUUGUAUUUUUAUUAUGAACUAGUCGAAUAUUAAAAACCUUAGUGCUUCCAGAAGAGAAUGCUCUUUUGGAAUAAUUGUGUGUUCUAUUCAUCUCUCAAGGAGGAGUUUAUAAGAUGUUACAAUCCUAUCAAUAAGGAAAGAAAUUUACAUAAAAUUAUAUUAAACUAAAAAUCCCAAGGUUACAGGAAUAUACACAAAAAGUCAACACUUUCCCUCAAGUUAUGUCACACAUGCCCACUUGUGUAAGAAACUUGAAAACUUAUGAUUUGAAACAACCUUUGUAAUGAUAUAUGCCAACUAAUUUCCAUUCUUAUUGUCGGUACCUCGAUUAUCUUCCCUUCCAAUUUUCCUUUGAUGAAGAACCAGUCAAAUUUAACAUGCUUUGUUCUAUCGUGUUGUACCAGAUUAUGUGCAAUGUCACGGGCAACUUUAUUAUCACAAGACAAUUUCAUAGGCUGAUCAUGUUUUAUAUCCAAAUUCCUUAGCAGAAGUUUAAGCCACAAAAUUUCACAAAUUCCUAAGGCCAUACGUAUGUAUUCAGUUUUUGCACUAGAACGGGCAACCACAUUUUGUUUCUUACUCCUCCAUGUAACCAAGUUACCCCCAACGAAUGUAAAGUAACUUGAUGUUGAGCUCCUGCCGUCCACUGAUCCUGCCCAAUCUGCAUCAGUAUAACCUUCAACUAUAAGAUGAUUAUUCUUUUUAAACAAAAUUCCUUUGCCUGGGCUUCACUUCAAGUAUCGCAAAAUCCUCAUCAUUGCAUUCAUAUGUUGUUCUCCAGGAUUAUGCAUGUAUUGACUCACAACACUCAAGGCAUAUGCAAGGUCCGGUCUUGUGUGUGCCAAGUACAUUAAACGGCUUAUCUCUCUUUGUAAACACUAAGCUUCAAUCCUUCCUCUAAUGGAGUAGCUAGUGGCUGACAAGUUGACAUGCCGGUUUCAUGUAGAAAAUCAAUAAUAUACUUCCUCUAAGACAAAUAAAUUUCAGAACUGCUUCUCGACACCUCAAUCCCUAGAGACGCAAUGGCCAAGCCAUAAAUUAUUCGGUUGGUGUGCUAAGUUAAAAUUAUUACUACGAAAUCAAAUGCUCAAAUUUUUUUUGUUGCAUGCGUAAAGCUAUGUAAUUUGAGUAAUAAUUUGAAGUAAGAAUUUUAUAGCCUGCUUUUAUGUUCUAGCCUUCAAACUUUCAAAUGAAUAUACUAUUGUAUAGAAGUUUUAAUUUAUUAAAUUUUAGUGUUGGUUAAAGUGAUGAGUUUAUUUAUCAUUUAUUAACUCUUAUUUUCCCUAAAAACACUUCUACGAUUCAGACUUUUCAUUUUCUAGGUGGGCUACGACAAUUAAAAAACUCAUAAAAUAAGUCAAACAUGUUGAUGCACAAAACCGGAGGUCUUGGUACAAUGUAAAUCCGACCGUGAAUUUGCAAGUAAUGUAAAUAACACAAGAUGUAUCGUGGUUCACCCCAAGGUUUGGGCUACGUCCACACUGAUAUGUAUUUAUCUGAGGGGGAGAUAGCUCUGAGAGUGAGAGAUUUGAGAGGGGUGAGAGGGCCUAGGAAUUGGCCUCCUCCAAUUGUAAGGGUGAAGGGUCCUUUUAUAGAAUAAGGACUCCUCACUUAUUACAUAUUUGCCCCUUCCUUUAUCACAUAAUUACAUUUAAGUCCCCCGAGUAUUUGUAUGAGAUCUAAAUACGAGGCCCUAAAUAUGGUAUAAACAGUAGUCCCUUAAGUCUUCAGUCAAGAGAGUCUUUUGGCUGGAGACUUGAAAUUCAGUCCAUGUGUGGGCCGAAGUAACUAGAUGUUGUCUUGAACUUGAUGCUCGAUAUGAGGCCAUGCUCAAUCUGAAAUAAUGCUUAACUAGAAGUAGCACAUGCUGCAAGGCUACUCGGCUCGUGGCUUAUGUUGUUUUGGUUGGCUCGACAUGUGGCUUUGAAGGUGAGGGAGUCCCUUUUAUAGAAUAAGGGCUCGCUCCUCAAUACAUAAAUAUGGGCUAGAGUUGAUGCUCGCGGUGAGGCGGUUGCUCAGUAGGCGGCGAUGCUCUCUAAUGAUGGUGAGGGAGUCCCUUUUAUAGAAUAAGGGCUCGCUCCUCAAUACAUGAAUGAUGGGCUAUAGUCGAUGCUCUCUAGUGGUGGUGAGGGAGUCCCUUUUAUAUAACAAGGGCUCGCUCCUCAAUACAUGAAUGAUGGGCUAGAGUCGAUGCUCUCUAAUAGUGGUAAGGGAGUCCCUUUUAUAGAACAAGGGCUCGCUCUUCAAUACAUGAAUGAUGGGCUAGAGUCCCCUGAGUUUUUUUUUUCAUAAGGCCCAAUAUAUGGUACAUAAUGUAGUCCCCCAAAUCUUCGAUCAAUAGAGUCUGUUGGCUGGACACUUCAAAUUGAAUCCAUGUAUGGGCCGAAGUGACGGUUGUUCGGAGGCGGUAUUUGUAUAUCCUGCACUGAAGCUUUGCAAGUGAAGCUUUGAAGCUAGAGCUCUGUAAAUGAAGCUUUUGAAGCUGAUUGACAUGAGUGAUGCUCAUGAAUGUUUGAUUGACAUGAGUGAUGCUCAUGGAUGUUGACAUGAGCGGUGCUCAUGAAUGUUGACAUGAGUGAUGCUCAUGAAUGUUUAUGUAUGAUUGAUAUGAGUGAUGCUCAUGAAUGUUUAUGUAUGAUUGAUAUGAGUAAUGCUAAUGUAUACUAUGAAGUAUUAGGCGUACUUUUGAUCACCUGGUUGGUGGCAUGAAUGAGAGUACGGGUUGUACAUUUCAUCACCUGGUUGGUGGCAUGAAUGGCUAGUUGCCAAAUGAUAUUAGAGUACGGGUUGUACAUUUUAUCACCUGGUUGGUAGUAAUAGCGGCAGGUUGCCGAAUAAUUUUGGAGUACUGGGCGUACUUUUGAUCACCUGGUUGGUGGUAAUAGCGGCGGCUUACCGAAUAAUUGUAGAGUACUGGACGUACUUUCGAUUACCUGGUUAGUGAUAAUAGAGGGCCUGGCUUUUUUGGGCAUAUGGGCAUUCGCACUCCACAUAACAUUGCAGCCCAUUUAUUUUGGGCUUGGCAGUUUUUUUUUUAUAGUAUUAUUACCCUCUGAUGGGGUUUAUACAGAUGUCUCCGACAAAUAAGAAAUUACAUCAUACAAAAACCAUAAAAGCAAAUCACAUCAUUCUUUGCUUUUGCUUUCUGCUUUUUCUUUUACUCUUUUCUUUUCUUGAAAUAUUCUCUCGACAACAUCAUAAUUCAGCCCAUGUUUAGUCCAUCUUCUGGUAAAAAGCAUGCCUUCACUUGAAGGACCCAUGUGCAAGACCCACGUUUAGCCCAUCCUUUAGCCAAAAGUGAAGACGAUAUGCAGAGCAUCUUCCACAGAAUUGGAGCAAGCAACACAUGUCAUGCCAGAGACUCUGACUUGAAAACUCUUUUUGAUAAAGUCUUCACUGAUUUGACAAUAUCAUGAGCAACUUCACCUUUUUCUUGAUCUCCUUUGCCUUCUCCUUCAUACCACUGCACAUGGGACCCGCUUGAUAAUACUACACUUGUAACCUCUAGACCUACACAUUCUUGGACAGCAGCUUCACUGCUCCUAAAUGGACCAAUCUAACCUUCACUCGUUUCGGGGUCGAUAGGUAGGUCAAGCAAGAGAGAUUUUCUUCCAUGAUCGUCAGAUCUUUUUCGUAGCCGUGGACUUCAGCAGCUGGAGAAAAAGCCCUUCUUUCUCGGCUAUCAGGAUCUUCGCUUCCGCGUUUCCCGUUGAUGAAGCUGGGGUGAACGCAUGGUGGGUCUCAAACUCCAAAAGUUGGGCUGAUCGUCGAGCUCCUGCUACUGCUCCACCGACGUUGAAAUUGAGUUUGUUGUUUGAAACGUUGAAGUUGGUCAGACUGGGAGCCUGAAUGUUUGGCAGCUUGCCUGAGGAACCAUCAUUUUCAAGAAAGAGUACGGCCAGGUGGGUUAGGCUGCUGACGGCAAAUGGAAUCGGUCCAAAAGUUGGGCUGAUCUGCAAACUAAGAUCAAUUGAAGGCCCGAUAACAUCUGCAAAUCCACAAAUUAAAGAUGAAAACGGUGUAGGUAGCAGCACAAGGCGACCGCGAACUCCUCAUACCGUCGAGCUCAUACUACUGCUCCACCGACGUUGAAAUUGAGUUUGUUGUUUGAAAUGUUGAAGUUGGUCAGACUGGGUGCCUGGAUGUUUGGCAGCUUGCCUAAGGAACCAUCAUUUUCAAGAAAGAGUACGGUCAUGUGGGUUAGGCUGUUGACGGCAAAUGGAAUCGGUCCGGUGAAGUUGUUAGAUGUCUGACUCGUCACAGGGGGGACGAAGGCAGUUUGGAAGGGGAAUCAUUUUGGGCCUGUUUGGAUGCAGAAAUUGGGAAGGAUUGGGGCACUAGAGGUCAUUGAACAUCUGCUUCUUAAAUACGAACCUAAAACCCAAAAAAGCAACGACCUUUAUCUUCCCUGUGGGCUUGUGAUGAGUGUUUUAGAUUUGGAUCUGUUUCUGGGUUUUUGUGAUUUUGCAGAUUCACAGUGGAUAUGAAAAAAAUGAAAGAGAACCGACACAACUUUUCGUAUCGAUUCCCACAUACGGCGCCAAAUGUUGAUGCACAAAACCAGAGGUCUUGGUACAACGUGAAUCUGCAAGUAAUGUAAAUAACACAAGAUGUAUCGUGGUUUACCUCAAGGUUUGAGCUACAUCCAGACUGAUAUGUAUUUAUCUGAGGGAGAGAGAGCUCUGAGAGUGAGAGCUUUGAGAGGGGUGAGAGGGCCUAGGAAUUGGCCUUCCCCAAUUGUGAGGGUGAGGGGUCCUUUUAUAGAAUAAGGACUCCUCAUUUAUUACAUAUUUGCCCAUUCCUUUAUCACAUAAUUAUAUUUAAGUCCCUCGAGUAUUUGUACGAGAUCUAAAUACGAGACCCUAAAUAUGGUAUAAACAAAACAAUUAGUAUUUUUUAGCUUAAUGAACUAAAACUAUCCCUCUGUUAUUAACAUAGCCUUGUACUUGGCUCUAUGUGUGAACUUUACUGGCGGAGCCAAAGAGAGACAAGAAUAGGUCCAGGCCUGUCCAACAUCCUUCAGAUUCUUUUUUAAUAAAAAAGGAUUAAAAAGAAAGAGAAAACAGGAGCAUGAAAAUUACUACUAGUCUACCCUAAACAUCAUAUAUGAUAUAUCACUUAGUCACUAGUAAGGCUAAUAUGGGAGGAAAAUUUUCCAGCUUUCUGGUAACAAACAGCAAUAAAAACCACAUCCCACAAAAGAAGAAUUUUUAUUGAAUUAGGAUAAUAGGAUUUGACGAAUCGUUUGGAUUUUUUUAGCCUAAUAAAUAAAUAAUAUGUAAUCCUCGAUUAGUUGUUUCCAAUUUGUAUUCUAAUUUGAUUGUUCUUCAUAAUCCUCUUUCAUAACGGAUAUCUUUCCAAAGAUGACCAGGAUUAACGCACUAUAUAUUAGUAAGUGCCAUUAGCAAUCAAUCAAACAAUCUGCACAAUCACAACUACAUCGAUCAAACAACAAAGAUCAUGUUGUAUAUUGAUGAUCUCCCUGAUUUUGUAUUGGUGGAAAUCCUUUGUCGACUUCCCCGCGAAUCCGCAGUUCAAUGCAGGUGUGUUUCCAAGCGUUGGUUCAGUCUCCUCUCUGAUGAUUACUUUCGUUUAUGCUUUUUGUGUGUCCAAGAUAAAAAGCGGACGCCGGAGCCAACUACUCUGAUCUUCACGAAUCCAAAGGAUGCGAGGGAUUUCUUUACCAUGUCGGAGCAGCCUCUGGUGGCCGAAAACCAAGGCCGCCCCCGCAGCUUCUCUUUGAGUUUCCUCCCUUGUUUUCAAAGGCCUGUCGACACACCAGACAAGGAACCAAUUGUAGUAGCGGCAUGUCGGGACUUAGUAUUAUGCUGCGCAGCCAAGACUAGUUCGGACUACUACGUCUGCAAUCCAUCCACCAAGCAAUGGGACGCCAUUCCUUCCCUUUCUCAUCAAUGCUGCCACGAGGAAGCGUGGGUCGGAUUUAUCUGCGAACCCUACUACUAUAAGAAGGAAUGCAGGGAAGAUGGCAACGAUAGCCGAAAGGAAAAAAGUAAUACAUUCCAACUUAACGUUGAGAGUAGGUACAGGAUCGUGCGAUUUACUCAUUCAUCCUUGCCGCAGCCCUCGAAAAUAAAGCUCGAGAUUUUCACUUCCGAGACUGGUAAAUGGACAGAACAUAUUGCAUCAGGAUUUUCACUUGGUGGUUUGAAUCGCACAGCGGUUGCUUACAAAGGAAAUCUGUAUUGGUGGAACUUUAACGCUGGCUGGGCGAUCGGUUUGGAUAUUGAACAUCUUAAAUUGCGUUGCAUUCGUGGGCCUCAAGAUGAUCAGUUCAUCACUCCCAUCCAUUCAUAUUUUGAAAUCCUAGAAUCCAUUAAAGCAAGAUCUCGAAAAGGAUAUUGUAUGCGAACGUGCCAGUUCUCUCAAAAUCAAAACCGUCCAAUUUUUCUGAGUGUUUGGGAGUACUUGGAAGAUGAAGAGGCCAAUAACGCUGGCAAAUAUUGGUAUUUAGUAGGCAGAGUUUCCCUGGACUGGAUGAAAUCGCAAAAUCCAUUGGCCAUGGAAUCGAAGGAGAAAAAGGUAAGGACGCUCGGUUUUGACCCAAAUAAUGAGGAUAUCUUAUAUGUACAAGUACGUGGAUACGUUGUUAUUUAUAACAUUGGCGCAAAAACGGUAGAAGUGGUUUGGAAAACUGAGCCCACUUAUGAUCAUGUUGUGUACCGACGAGUUGUCUUUCCAUAUAUGCACCCAUGGUGGCCGACGACACUUCCUAAACGCAAACAACUACGGGAGACCUCUAGAAGACCAAGCAGCAACAGGGAUGAUGAGACGCAACGGCGGAGCCAGGAAUUAUUAGGUUGGUGGCCUAAGUUAAAAUUAUUACUACGAAAUCAAAUGCUCAAUUUUUUUCGUUGCCUAAGUAAAGCUAUGUAAUUUCAGUAAGAACUUUAUAGUCUGCUUUUAGGUUCUAGCCUUCAAACGUUCAAAUGAAUAUACUAUUGUAUUGAAGUUUUAAUUUAUUAAAUUUUAGUGUUGGUUAAAGUGAUGAGUUUAUUUAUCAUUUAUUAAAUUUUAGUGUUGGUUCACUAAUCCGGAAUCGGAAUGAGGGGAGUUGAAUUGAGGAGAAGUUCGAUUGAGGACAAUCAUAAUUGGAUUUAUAUUACUAAAUUGUCUAGAAUCAGAACCCUAGGGCUGUACUUCUAUUUAUGCGAGCAAAACGGGAGAGGGGAGAAUUGAACUUAGGACCUCGAAUGCAAAUGCGCAAGUGAAUACUCUUAACCAAAUGAGAUACAAAUCUCUUGCAAGCCCGGUAAAGUUCAGUCUAUCAAAAGAAAUAACGUUAGUUACAAUUUGGUGGUUUUAGGCAUUUAUACACAACUGAUGCAGGUUGCUUGUAACUAAAAAAAAAAAAGUUCCCUGUGCAAACAGGGACGAAGCUAGAAAUUUGUAAGAAUGAGGGCAUUCUCAAACAACAAGAUACAAUUAAAAAACUCAAGAAUGUACUGCACAAAACACUUAUAUAUUAAUCCACAAAGUUUUUCAUACAACAUCUUACAAUAUUCCUUGACUCGUUUUCAUGUUUUGAAAGCGGUGCAUGACAACAUCAUUACCAAUACCAUCAAAUAUUUCUCUCUAUAAAAAUAAUCAUGCUAUUAUUCAUGCAUUGAUCUUCCAUUCGAUUUCUCAAUCGAUUCAGAAAUUUCAUGGCCAAAAAUGCUUUUUCAACGGUGGCAGUAGCAACUGAAAGAGUUAGUGCUAAUGUCACAAGUAUGUAAACUAGCGGAUACACCUUGUCUUUUUUUCAUUGGACCAUUUUUUUAAUAGUUUAAUUAGAAUUGACAUUGAAAUUGAAAUGCAAUCUAUUUUUUCAUUUGUAGUUUAAUUAAGGGAACUUUAAUGAAAAGCUCUCGGUACUAUUCACUUUAACGAAAAACCACAUUUUAUACUAAAAAGUCAAUUCUAGUACUAUUUACAUUACCCUUUAUUUUGUCCUUAUCGUUAAAACUUAAAGUUUUCAAACUCUUUUCAUUAAUUUUCCUUUUAAUUAAGGCUUGGGAAUUUGAAUGCAAAAGUGUACACACACACACACACAAUUGAGUGGGGGCGGAUGCCCCCUCUAGGCCCUAUACAGCUCCGUCCUUGUGUGCAAAAGAAAGUUCCCUGUGCCUGAAACUAAAAAAAAUCAUGACAUCUUUGCAUUUACAGUCCUCGAUAACAAUCACAUAUUCUUGUAUGACAAUAGUGAUCGUGUUAAGGAAGAGAGUCUCGAGUUAACUGCGCAAGUCAAGUCUAAUUAUACCAGAGUAUAGGGAUUGGGGGCUUAUGAAGGAAACAACCUAGAAGCUGUUUCAGAAUAUAUAGUCAUUGACAAGCAAGUAUGAUGAGUAAAUGCAAAGAUUUUUCCUUCAUAAGCCACCAAUCCACGGGUGUCGAGAAAGCUAUACUCUGGGACGAUAUAACUGCAGACAGAAAUGCAUGAUGAUUGAACAGAGCUAACAUCUUUGGAUAGAUUUAUAGAGGUAUACUCAAUCAGCAUGUUUCCACAAUGGCCAUCAUUCAGAGUUGGCCUCGAGAUUUCGAAAAUCAUGCUACCAAUUCAGAUUAAAAUGCAUGGAAACAAUGAGUUUGAUUCAGGAAAAUGGCCUCCCCUUUGAAUACUAGAAGUAUUUUUAUUAUGAACUAGUCGAAAAUUAAAAACCUUAGUGCAUCUCAUUCUCUUUUGGAAUAAUUGUGCGUUCUAUUCAUCUCUCAAGGAGGGGUUUAGAAGACGUUACAAUUCUAGGAAAGAAAUAAUUUACAUAAAAUCAUAUUAAACUUAGGGGGUGUAUUCAAUUAGGAUUUUGAGGGAUUUUAAUUCUUUUAAGAUAUUCAAUCAGGAUUUUAAGUGAUUUUUUGAAAUUUAAAGUGUAUUUAAUUAGAAUUUUGAGAUGGUUUAUUAAAAUUCUUAGAAAUCCGGGUGUAUUCAAUUAGGAUUUUAAAGAAAUUUAUAACAUUCUAGGUGUAUUUAAUUAGAAAUUUAUUUUAAAGAAUUUGAAAUUUAUUUUAAAGAAUUUGAGAAAGUUGAAGAAUUAGAGGAAAUUGGAGAGAUUUCGUAGUGUAUUUUAAACAUCCACAAAUCUCACAUUUUCCCAUGAGAUUUCGAUGAAAUUGAAUCAAAAUUUUAUAUGAACCCUCUACAAAUCAAUUAAACUCUAUAAAAAUUCAUGGAUUUAUAAAUCCAUUAAAGUUUCUUAAAUUCUCAAUUGGAUUUAUAAAUCCAUAGAUUUACAUAACUCUUCAUUUUGGUCCUUGAGAUUUGAAAUCGAUAGAAUUGAUUCCCAAUCAAUCAUUUUGGUCAUUCCGUGAAAAAUCUCCAUAAAAUAAGGAUAAAAUGACAAAAAGACCCUCAAUUUUUGUCAAAUCAUUUUUUGUGCUAUUGCUUAUUAUAUUGAAGGUAAUUUUAUUAUUUUGAUCCUUAUUUAAUAAUUUUUCAUCAAAUGAUCAAAAUGAUUGAUUGUAGAUAAUAUUAAGGACCACUUUUAUUGAUUUCAAAUCUUAGGGAUCAAAAUGAAGAGUUAGGCAAAUCUCAAGAACCAUUUUGGUUAAAAACCGUUCAAAAAACUUCGAUCUGUACGGACCAGUAUAUAAUGAUAAAUCUCAAACUCCCAUUGUAAUAACCAGAAUUUCUCCCUAGCAUAUAGUUUGCUGGUUGUAUUUAAGAAUUUCUCCUGAUGAAUGGUCGAGGUGGGUACCCGUUUUAGACCGCUAGAUCCAUCUGAACGGUUGUAAAUUUAAAACAGGCUUACGUAGAAACGGGUACAAAAAUACCAGCCCAGCCCAUCCAAGUUAAAAUACUAAAAAGCCCUCUCAGAACCCAAAACAUUUCGAUCCUGUUUUUGAAAAAUCUGAAAACAGAGAGCGCGGGGUGGCUGAGCAGUCAGUAGCAACCGUCACUCACGGCGCACCUUAGAUGCCCCCGGCAAACAGUUGCAGCAUUGGCUGAGCCAGUGAGUGAGCGAGUCAAUCGAUUAGAUGGGUUCGAAAGAGAACUACGGAAUCGAGCUUCGAACUGCGAUUCGACAGCUGAGCGAUCGCUGCCUCUACGCCGCUUCCAAAUGGUACCUCCCAAAACCCUAAAUCCCCAUUUCAAAUUUCAAUUCUUUACAUCCAAUUGAUGCGUCGUCGUUUCAAUGAUUAUGCAGGGCGGCAGAGCAGCUCGUCGGCAUCAUCGAGCAAGACCCGGUAAAGUUCACGCCAGCGAACACGAGAUUCCAGCGCGGGAGCUCCAGCAUCCGGCGCAGAUUCCGCACCAACGACAUCACCUCGACGCCGGCUGCCGGCGUGUCGUAUGUGUCCACUCCGGUGAUGGAGGAAGAUGACAUUGUGGACGGCGAUUUCUACCUCCUUGCUAAGUCGUAUUUUGACUGCAGGGAGUACAGAAGAGCUGCUCAUGUGCUUCGUGAUCAGAACGGAAAGAAGUCGGUCUUCUUACGCUCCUAUGCUCUUUAUCUGGUUUGUAACUUUCUCUGUUAUUUCACUCUCUGCAAGUCAAAGUUUUAGUCUUUUGAUUUUUCGGUGUGUUUCGCCCAUAAAUUUGAAUCUUUACAAGUUUGAAAUUGAUGAGAAUACGUAGUAUAUAGGUAAUCUAACCAAGAACACCACCAACAAUUAUACUGGUUCGGCGUUAGCAAGCCUAUGUCCAGUCGGAGAUGACAGAGUCUUCUAAGAGAGCACUUACGAGUGUGUAUCACUCAAGAACCCUAUGACCCCAAUAAAUAAGAACACUCUCGGAGAAGUGUAUCCAUAAAGCCAAAGAAAAACUGGGCCGAGAACAUCCCCGUAAACAAGAUUGACGUGGCACUUGAAAGCCACACAAUGCUUUGUGCAAAACAAGCUUGAGACUUAAAUACGAGAAGGCAAGUUUUUCUAUGAAAUAGGAAUCCAAUGUGGCAAAUAGGAUUAAACAUACAACAAAACAGGUGAAAGACAACUCCAAUCGGCAAUUGGGUUUAGGAAUCUAACGAUUUUACAUUUUGGUUGAUGGGUACUUUAAGAAAUCUGUGUCAGUUUAAUGCUACAUGAUAGCAGUAGUAGUAACUUCUCUUGCGUUAAAAAAUCCUUGAUUUUUAUGAACCUACUUAUUUCAUUCAGAUUUUAUAGUUGUAUAUUUUUCUUUGUUUUUAUUGCCUGAUGAAGGCUGGAGAAAAACGGAAAGAGGAAGAAAUGAUAGAACUUGAGGGGCCCCUAGGAAAGAGCGAUAUUGUGAAUGGUGAACUUGUUUCUCUCGAGAGGGAGUUAUCAACCCUUCGCAAGAAUGGGACUAUUGAUCCUUUUGGACUCUACUUGUAUGGCCUUGUGCUCAAAGACAAAGGCAGCAAGAGUCUUGCUCUUACAGUUCUUGUGGAGUCUGUUAAUAGCUACCCUUGGAACUGGAGUGCCUGGUCGGAGCUGCAGUCGUUGUGCACUACAGUUGAUGUCUUGAACAGCCUUAAGCUCAAUAACCAUUGGAUGAAGGACUUCUUUCUCGCCAGUGCUUAUCAAGAACUGAGGAAGCACAGUGAAUCCUUAAAAAAAUAUGAAUAUCUUAAGGGCACUUUUGUUUUCAGUAAUUACAUUCAGGCUCAAAUUGCAAAGGCACAAUACAAUCUCAGGGAAUUUGAACAAGUUGAAGCAAUUUUUGAAGAACUUCUCAGGAAUGACCCUUAUCGAGUGGAAGACAUGGACAUGUAUUCCAAUGUGCUAUAUGCAAAGGAGUGCUACUCUGCACUAAGUUAUCUUGCCCAUAGAGUAUUUAUCACUGAUAAAUACAGGCCUGAAUCUUGUUGUAUUAUCGGAAAUUACUACAGCUUAAAAGGGCAGCAUGAGAAGGCGGUUGUGUACUUUAGGAGGGCACUCAAAUUGAACAGAAACUAUUUAUCUGCUUGGACCCUUAUGGGUCAUGAAUAUGUUGAGAUGAAAAACACCCCAGCUGCUAUUGAGGCAUAUCGACAUGCUGUAGAUAUAAAUCCAUGUGAUUAUCGAGCUUGGUAUGGAUUAGGACAAGCUUAUGAGAUGAUGAGUAUGCCCUUGUAUGCUCUUUAUUACUUCAAGAAAUCAGUAUUCUUGCAGCCAAAUGAUUCUCGGUUGUGGAUUGCUAUGGCCAAAUGUUAUGAAACUGAACAGCUGCACAUGACUGAGGAAGCGAUGAAGUGUUACAAAAGGGCAGUUAAUUGUAAUGACAGGGAAGCAAUUGCCCUGCACCAACUAGCAAAGCUAAAUUCUGAACUUGGACGUUCUGAAGAGGCAGCUUAUUACUACAAGAAGGAUUUGAGAGGAUGGAAGCCGAAGACAGGGAAGGACCAAAUAUGGUAGAAACCCUGCUAUAUCUUGCUCAAUACUAUAGGCAGCAGAAAAGAUUUGAAGAAUCAGAGAUCUACUGUACCCGUCUUCUAGAUUAUACUGGCCCAGUGAGUUGCAACUUCUAUUUCAUUAUAUAUGCUUAUGUAAACGUGACAUUGGAUUCUAAUGAAUUAUGUGCAAAUGUUUCGUAUCAACAGAAAGUAACCGUUAAUUCUCUGCACUUCACUGCAGGAAAAGGAAACAGCAAAGAGCUUACUUCGAGGAAUGAGAAUAGAACAAGCUGGUGGUCCUUCAAUGGAUGUUGAGCACUUUCCUCCCUAAUUUAGUCAUGAUGUAUGAAUAUGAAAAUGCUCUUGUGGAGAAGAAGAUGCCCAAAGAGAAUUGGCUCUAAUUUAAUAGAUUAUACAAGGUUGGUAUCGGUUUGAUUGAUGUAAUUGGUCAUUGGGUAUCAAAUCCUAGAUGAAUUGGUAUGAAUGUUGAUUACAAUAGUCUGAAUGUUUCUAUAACUACUGCAUAACUGCCAUGUGCAAUGGUGCUAAGCUUGUUAUCUAGUUUGAGAAUCGAGAUUAGUGAAGGCAUAUUCUAAUGGUACUUGAAGGGUAAGGCCUUCAAAUACAUGUAUGAAGAAUGAUAUAUUGAUAGUAUUGAAAGCACAAUAUGAGAGAAUUGUGGAGGUGUGGCAUGGUCAUCUUUAGGGGUUGAUAUAUACUUAAGAAGCAAGAAAUAAGUAAUUUUCUUUUGAAAAGAGAUAAUAAAAUGCAAUUAAUCAGUCCACUAAUUAUUUUUUACAACGAGUAAUGUUUAAGAUAUUGAAAGAUUAGAGAUGUUCCAAAAAAUACCUUAUAUGUGGGGUACUUUACCCAAGCAUAGGCUUUUAAGUAUGAUUUAUUUUGUUAUCUAGAUGCAGUCUUUGUCCCUCUUAAAUUUUUAUGCACACAGCCAAAUGAAAUGACCCAAAAUUUUACUAAUUGUAGGUUUUUAUAUGUUUUUUCUGAAAUUAAACCAGAAUAAUUCACAUUAUUUCUGAAAAGCUGGAAAUGAACAAAAUAAGCACUAUUUAUGAAACUACAACAAAAUAACCCACACUAUUUAUGAAACUAGACAAAAGUAACUCACAUUAGUUUUAUAACUACAAGCAAAAUUAGCCACAUUAUUUUUGAAAACUGAACCAAAAUAAUCAACACUCAUGAUUUUUACAUGGAAGUUACUGAGGACCAAAUGCUUAUUGGGACUCAUUGGGGUUAGCUACCCAAAAUUUCAAGUUACUUCUUUACUUUUUUUUAAAAUUUUUUUUUAACCUAUUAUUCCUAAACAUAUAUAUAUAUAUAUAUAUUUUAACAACGACAUUGAGGGAAUGGAAUGGUGGGUUAAGCCUCACAACGGACUUGCAAUAAUGUGGUUCAAAUUCGUAUUUGACGAGAAACGAACCUAUGAACUCUCACCUACAAAUAAAGAGAAAUUUCACUAGACCGAUAUGAAUUAAUAAAACCAUCUUUCAUUAUCUUGAAUUCAAUUUUUUUUUUGGGUACAUUUUGAUGAAAUUAUACUUUCACACAACUGAUCACUCAUUAAUAACCAUCUGUAGAAUUUCACAAAAGCCCUGAUUCCUCAUAAUUCCGCAGAAGUUUUCAGAUUUCCGGACACCAGAAAAAAUGUAAUUACACCUAAUUUGCAACUGCACCACAAAGAAUCGAAGAACAACCAUAAUUACUAAACAUUUGUGAUAGAAACGAAGAACCCCUAAUCACCGACUGCAUACAAUAAGGACCUGAAGUAUGAAAUCAAUGACGGUCUUACCGCCAGGAGCUUCGGAAGCAAAAAGGCUUUCAUGCAGCAAGUUGGGGAAACGCUAUAACUCCACCUAAGAAUACGAAUCCUUGGUCCAAUUUUUGGGUAAUCUGGGACACGACUGAAAUUUCAGGCUGAGCGGGGCUCACGGUCAGGUUCUUUCAUCUCCUCCGGCGCCAUUGCGGGCUCCAAUCUUGGAACUCAGGGUUCACGGGCACAGAGUCUGCGUUCCUCGAUGGACUAGAUCUUUCGUGCAUAUUUCCAAAACCGCUCAUUCCAAAUAAUUAUGUGCAAAUGUUUCGAAUCAACAGAAAGUAACCGUUAAUUCUCUGCGCUUCACUGCAGGAAAAGGAAACAGCAAAGAGCUUACUUCGAGGAAUGAGAAUAGAACAAGCUGGUGGUCCUUUAAUGGAUGUUGAGCACUUUCCUCCAUAAUUUAGUCAUGACGUACAAGCUGGUGGUAGUCAUGCCUUCUCUACCAGUUUUGGCACAACAACUUGCGAGAAGCUUGAGGUGGAUUGAUCAAUUUGAGAGCGUGUACUUCUAUUAGUAAUGUUCAUUGGUUUGAUUUCUGUAGAAAAUUUCAAUUUUAAUGUGCUGCUUUAGUUUUCUAGAGUGUUUCCUUAAUCUUUCGUUCAUUCUUUAUUUUUCUGCACUGGGUUGCCUAUCUGCCAUUGCCAAAACAAUGUAAAUGCUGGUUUAAAAGUGCUUUUAAAAUGACAAAAAACCUUUUAGAAAUAAAUGUUGUUGAGUUCCAAAAGCACUUGAACUGCUUCUUGAAAGAAGCACGAAAAGCAUUUCAAUUGCUUUUCUAGAAUUCACUUGCGUUUUUAUUAAAAAUUGGUUCCAAAAACAUUUUCACCAAAAGCAAGCAACAUCCAUCCUAUACGAUGCAGGAAAGGCAAUUAAUCAAAACAAAUAAAACUAAAUUCAAGUGCACAUUGUCAUUCACUCACAUUAUUUCAAAUACAUAGUAAGUAUAAAUUAAACACAACCUCUAAAGCUCCAACGACUCGUAGCAAUUACUGAGUCUCAAUCUCUGGCCUCUUCUUCUCUCAGCCGGUACUCAAACCAGUUCAAUUAUUUUUCGGGUCCGUGAAGAAACCGUUGAUGCCUGGCAUAAUCUCCGGUGCCCUGUUGCGGACAAAUUUCCUCAAGAAAUUCUCUUUGUACUUUUCUCCUUCGGCGUGAUUAUCCAAUACUCCAGCAGCUCUGCCCUCCUUGCUCACUCUGAUUCAGAAAGAAAAAAGAGAUGGUAUCACCAUACGCUACGGCAUCCAGUAUAAUUUUCACAUCAAAUUCAUAGUUCUUUCAGGUUUGUAAGAGUGAAGAGAACCAACAGAACAAGAAGAAAAUACCACACACUUGCAUGAGUUGUUCUUCACAUUUACCACGUACGCUAGCUUGAAAGAUUUAAGGAGCUUUAACUACAAACUGGGCAUGUUAUAUACGAACACUUUGAGGGCUCGUUCGGUGUGAAGGAAAUGUGUUAAAAGGUAGAGGCAAAUGAUUAUUUGUUUCGAGGGGAUUAGAAAUGAAGAAAACGUAUCCCUUCUAAUCCUACCAUUUUGCGGGAUUUGUUGGGAACAAGUUUCAUUCAUUAGUAAUCUAUCUUCUAUCUUCAAGUUGAACAAAUUUCCCUUUUUCCUUCGUCCAAAAACACCUUGAAUAUAAUAAAUAAUCCAAUACACUCCAAUUCUAAGCAUCGAACGAGCCCAUCCCGAUAUCCAUCACAAAAUCGGCUUAUUUUGGUAUACAAAAAUUUACUUGGCCUCUCUUGUAAUCAAUUUAGACCACCCACUUUGGUUAAAUUAAACCCAAAUAUUUGAUAAUAAAAUUAAGGUUUUUACGUCUUGGAAAUAUUCAUCUAAUUUGAGCAAGGUUCUAAAAGACGCUAUGCGCUAAUUGGACAGCGGGGUUGAGGUCUAGUGCCUAGACGGGUAGGCGGAGCCUAAACAGGCACCUAGGCGGACUAGGCAGAUUUAAGUAAAUCUAUUGUAUUUUGUAUAAAUAAAUGUCUGUAUAUACUUAAAAAUAUAUAUAAUUAUAUUAUGAAGUAUUAGAACAUAAUGAAAACAUUGAGCAAAUAUAUAAUGUGUGUUUAUUUAAGUGUUUAAAGAGUUUCUUACAAUUUAUUGAAAAUAAUAUAAUGCAAAAGAAAAAUUAUCUAUUUCCUAUCUAAUGGGGGGUGUAUUCAAUUGGGAAAUGGAGAGAUUUUAAUGGAUUUAUAAAUUCAUGAAUUUUUAUGGAGUUUAAUUGAUUUGUAGAGAUUCCAUGUAAAAUUUUUAUUCUAUUCCUUCAAAAUCUCAUGGGGAGAUGUGAGAUUUGUAGAUGCUUAAAAUACACUACAAAUUCUCUCCAAUUCCCGCUGAUUCCUCAACUUUUUGAAAUUAUUUAAAAUCAAAUUCUAAUUGAAUACAACUAGAAUGUUAUAAACUUCUUUAAAAUUCUAAUUAAAUACAUCCAGAUUUAUAAGGAUUUUAAUAAACUAUCUUAAAAUCCUGAUUAAAUACACAUUGAAUUUUAGAAAUCACUUAAAAUCCUGAUAGAAUAUUCCUAGAUUCAUUAAAAGAAUUAAAAAUCCUUUAAAAUCUCAAUUGAAUACAAUCCUAGUUGAGUCGCAACCUAAGCAUGUGUCUAGCAAGUCUGGACCAGCUAGGCCGGGCGGUCUAGGCGGGGAUUUUUAUAUCGGUGAAUUUGAUAAGUUAUUGGCAUAGCACAGAAAUAAACGAAUUACAAAUAGAACACAUAGACUAGCAACAAUCUAAUUCUAAAGCAUUAAGCUCUGCAGUCCAAAUUUAGAGAGAGACGUACCUGACUUCAGGGUUGAUGGUGAUAUGGCGGAACAGACUCAACCCGCAGAUCCCUACGGCGACCCCUGUGGCCGCGAACAGUGGAUAAACCUACAUACACACAAACAAUACGACGCCGGAUUAAAAGCCCAGCCAACAAAAUCAAAGCCGAUCUGGUACAAGACGAAAGGAUCAAAUCUCGGAGGUUGAUCUGCGCUCACCUCGGGCCUCAGCCAGCGAUUUGCAGCCAUUGAUUGAAACGCACCGUACGGAGAUUACCGGAGAGAAAAAUGCGAUGAGGGCUUGAAAUGCUAAAACAGGGACCAAGGAAGGAAGAAAGACCACCCGAGCCGCCACUUUGAUUGGCUGUCUCCGGAGUGGGGUGCCCCACUUGCUGUCUCCCGUUCAGCAAAUAAGAAUGCGACACGUAAUUCCAUCGGCCCUCCUGAGGUCUGACUUAAAAUAUGUAUAAAAAGGAAAAACUGUUGCGCCGUUGCCGGGGAUCGAACCCGGGUCACCCGCGUGACAGGCGGGAAUACUUACCACUAUACUACAACGACUUGUUGCUGUCUAAUGCUAUUAGUUUGGAAUUAACAUGUACUCGAUAAAGGAUCCGAAGAAAACUUAUUCAUGUCAUUGAUUGGACGGUUGCACCCAAGUUUUUCUCAUUUUGUUCUCAUUCAAAAGACGAAACUAAUCAGGUUCGCUUGGCUUGAAUAAGUCCAUAUUAUCACUUGUAUAGUUGGAUUUUUCUUUUGUUACCAAACUAGAAUAGUUGAAUUAACGUGUAUCUUCUACAGCACAAUCACAAUUAUUAUGUGGAUAAUAGUGAUUAAGAUUUUGGUCUUGUUUAGUGGCUAAUAUUGGAUGAGAACUCAGCUAUUCAACAGACACACAUCUCUAAACUCACAACCAAAUCUAGUAUUAAAAUAUGUUAAAACAUCAUACACGAACACACGUACAAUUCAAGUACAACCACUAUUCUAAAAAUCGGUCUCGGCGCUGGGCGGUGGAGCCCUGCCCCGAUUUUGGGCAAGACGUUUGGAAAAAUCGGCUGGAAGCUAGGCGGCCCUAGGCAGCUCCUAGGCGGAGAGCUAGGCGGCACCUAGGUGGUUUUUUUUUUUUUUUUUUUUAUAUUGUGUGCUUUUUUCUUUUUUGGUUUCAUGGUGGUAUACUUAUGGAAAUGAUGUACCUAAUUUGCAAAUGAUGGAUUUACUACAAGUUCAUCCAACAGUGAAACAAAUUGGAGCACUUUUGAGGGGAUACAUACAAAGAAUAAAUAAACUAGAUACAACAAGGUUAAAUAAUUUAGUCUAUAUCUAAUCCAAUACAAGGAUCAUGAUUCAUGAACAAGAAGAAUUUAGUCUAUCAUCCAAAUCCGCCUCAUUAUGAUUAUAUGCUUAUUGUUUUUUAAAAAUUGAACUCUUUGGAUGUAUAUAAUUUAUGUAUUCUUCUACCUUCUAUUUUUGCAUUUUAUCAUUCUUUUAUUAUCCAUACAAAUAUAAUUUUUUUUUAAGUGUAAAUAGACACUUAUUUACAAGAUAUAUAAUAAAUUUACAUAAAUCUGCCUAGACCCCUGCCUAGCCGCCUAAGCGCUAGGCCCCCCUGCCCGCCGCCCGACUAGCGCCUAGCGAUUUUUAGAACCUUGAGUACAACUAGUGGCCUACUCAUACGACUACAAUGCCACUGUUUUCCUCGGCCAAACUACAGGCAAUAUACUCAAAGCUCUUUCUAUCAAGGAGCAUGGACUCGGGGAUACCCUCUAGAAGUGCUGUUUUUUAACACAGGGAUGACUCGGAAUAAAUGAUCCGACGAAGGAAGUUCUUCGGCCUCUAACUUCAACGCAGAAGCUUCUUUCCACUAACUUCAGUGCAUCUCCGUUGUCAACUCCAUCAUGUAACUUCAUAUCAAACUCAAAAUGGUAGUAUUAGAAUGUUCCAUGCCGAUAUCCAUGUCAGCCCCUUCCAUCGCCAUUUCAGAUCUCAACUUGACUUCAGAUUAUGUCAACAUGACAUCUGCAUCUGGUAUAUGAACCGGAUUUGAGAAGACCUAUCCCAAGUCAUCCAUGUCAAUUCCCUUUGUCACGUAUACGAUCACGCCAUGAACCUUGUUUCUUUGAAAGUACCUACAGAAAUGGCAGAUCAUUUCAAAUAUAAUGGAGAGUCCAAAAAAUAACCCACAUCAACACGUCGCUUAGCAACAAGCAAUCUUCAACUUACCUUCUCACUCAGGAGGCUUGUAGUUGUAGGCUCACUUUCUAUGCUGUCGUUUAUGUUGUUCUCUGCCUCAAUCUCACUAUCCAUCACAAUGGUCGGUCGAUCAUCUGAUGCACCAAACAUAGCCUCAUCAUGAGCAGAUCUGAGCUGCUCCUCCCUUUUUGUCUACACGAUGACAAUCAAAUGAAUAACAUCAGAAACUACAGGUCAUCUUUAACAAGCCAGAUUUCUAAAUGUAAGGUGACAUGAACAUAGAACUGGAACUCAAAUGAGAAACUAGCGGGAAGAUCGCAGAUGCACAUACCUCAACUGCAGAAAACCGGAAGCUUUGGCCAAUGUGCUUAACUAAUGCUGCAUCAUCUUCAGCAACUAUACAAAAAGGUAAACAGGCACAAUCAGUUCACUUUGCUCUAAUCAGACGGCCAAGAUAUAUUCUGAGUUACAACUUAAAAGCUACAUAAAUCAGUGUGGCAGUAUUAUCAAGUCUCAUGUCAAGGAUGCCUAAUCAUGCCUUUCUUUCUGAAUCUAACCUAUGAUGAUUGAUAGAUCCAAUGCUCUGCUAAUUGACCGCUUAAUUAGAUUUCUGAUCUUGGAUAAUAACUAAUAUGCCACAUAUAAAACUAAAUUACUUUGUAAGGCUAUAGAGCAAUCAAAGUGUAUGCUUGAAAUGAUAAUCUUUUGUUACAAGUAUGGCCGGGCAAUAAGAUGUAGCGGCAUUUAUAGCUGCAACCAUAUCCCGGUUUUCUCACCAAAAUAUGAACAUAAAGAUGAUUAUCCAUCUGAUUGAGAAAACAGAAGUAAUGCAAAGCAACAAAAUUCAAUCUUCACUUUAUAAAAUCCAGUGGUGUUUAUAGAUGUUUAACCUUCAACGUCUUCAUCAUCAAGUGGUGCAUCUUUGUUGAACUCGAAUCUUUCCCAACCCGAGCCCAUCCCUUUCGUCGUAUCCUUCUCAGCUGCAUUUAAGAACACACAAUGUUAUAACGCACAGCUCCAAGCAAACCCAUAUCUUAGAAAUUAAUGCACUAUAACAUCAGAUAGCUCACCAGUUUCAGCAAGUUGAAGCUUCAUCUUCGCCUUCACUCUCUCGGCCGCUGACUGAUCAUGUCAAAAGAACAGUUUGUUAAUCAUACUUGACAAUCAAAACCCAAAAUAACGAGUAAUUAGUCAUCUUAUCAAGGAUUUCACAUGUAAAUUAGUAAACUUAUUAAGAAUUCACUGUGUCAUUUAUCUAAGAUUGAUAAAGACUUGAGCCUGAUUCCUGACAUUGAUGAAUUACAACAAGUAAAUUACAAUUACCAAACUAAUCAUACCAUCUUAUCAUAGCCUUCAAUCAACUUGGAAUGAUCAGCACUGCCUCCAUUCCUCUCCUUCCCCGCUUUACCUUUGCUUCUCUCCGAACCCCUCUCCCUCGGUGACGAGCUCCGACUCCUCCUCCGCUCCUUUCUCCGAUCCCGAGGCGACGGACUCCGACUCCGGCUUCUCGAUCUCCGUCGUCUACCUCCAUCGGAAUCGCUCUCAGACCUCAUCCUCCUCCUCUCUCUACCCCUAUCUCUUUCUCUAUACCUCUCUCUGCUCCUACUUCUCCGAAUCGAAUGCCUCUCUCUGCUCCUGCUCCGCUUCCUCGAAUGCCUAUUCUCUCUCUCCGAAACCCUAGCCGGUUGCCUAUUCUCUCUUUCCUCCGCCGCGUUGGCCUUCUUCCUCUUGAGCUUGUUCUGUAUGGAUUCAAUCUGUGCUUGCUUCUGAAGCUCCGACUCCUUCUUCGGGCUGGACGCCUUAACAAACUUACUGAGGAAGGAAGACGAGGUGGAAUACGGCAGCGCUGAGCCGCGCUCAGAGGCAUUUUCGGAAUCCGAGUUUGCCGAAGAGAAGCCGAGGCCUUGUUUGAAUCUGGCGGCUCCUUCGCCCCGCCGAGUCAGCUCGUCAUAGUACGCCGCCGCUUUUGCCUCCUCCAUUUUCGAGCUCGGCGAUCGGCAACGCUUUCUGGUGUGACGGGUUCGGGGCGUUGGUUUCUUUUACUUGUCGCUGACGACGGUUUUGCGCGCCGGAUUUCGGGGCCCGCGUUCUUUUGUGCUUGUUGAAUUAACGGGCCUCGAUUCUCAAAUAGUUUGGGCCAUUUCUUUUACUUGGUGCGAUGAAACGAUGUCGGUGGGCUGAUAGAUCCUGUCGGGACAAAAGGGGCCUCUCAAGCCCAGUUUGGGUUUAUGACUUGUCAUGUUGACGUAUUUUAUUUCAGUUGUCGUUCUUGUUCUAAAAAGCGCAAGGUGCUAGCUAGCGGCAUCGCGGUGCAUAGAGGCCUAGGUGGUUUUUUUUUUAGCUAAAUUUAUUAUAUAACAUUUAUAUAAAUGUUUAUUAUUCUUAAAAAAAUAAUAUAAUUUUGUUGUAAUACAUAAAUUAUAAAAUAGAAUGAUAUAUAAAUUAUAAAAUACUGCAAGUAGCCCUCUACCAUAGUGGUGGAGAUGAUUGUUGCACAACGGCAUGGGUUUGAACCCCAUCGACUCUAAUCUAACAUCUAAUCUAACAAAUCUAUCAUUUGAAAAAAAAAAUAAAUAAAAUACCAGAACAUUUGUUUGACAAAAAAAGAAAUUAUAAAAUACCAUAAUAUAUUGAAAACAUUGGAACAAUGUAUAAUGAGUGUUCAUCCAAGUAUCCAACAAGUCUUUUAUAAGUUAUAGAAAAAUGUAUCUAUAUUACGUCUAAGUGAGAGUCAUGACCUAGGCGGAUUAGGCGGAUGCCUAAGUAAGUCUAGACGCCCUUUCUUAUUUUUUAAACGUCUAAGAAUUAAUCGUAGUGAUGGUCAACCGUCUAGGCAGCCCUAAGCUAGGAUUUUUAGAACAAUGAUCUUAAUAGUGUUGUUUGCACGCCCGUUCUUGUGGACCUCGUGGUCUAAAGAAAUAAUAGUCUCUCAUUGUUCGAUCUCAAUCAAAUAGUAGGUGAUCAUUUUUGUGUUAUAUUUUCUCCUCUUGUUGUAUUAAGAUCCAACAGUUAGUGAUCACUCAGCGUGAAUUUAAAUGAUUUUAUGGGGAGGUGUUUUUAAAUCAUUAGUACAUCUCUUUUCUUUGAAAGCCAUACAGAUCCAAUGUGGGACUCAAGGCGAACCGAAAACAGUGUUUCUAUCUUUCUAGAUUUGUGCUGCAUCAUUUUUGUAAACCACAUAUAUAUAGACUCUCAUCUGUUGCAACAACUGUGGACACGUACAAUAUAUUUGAUCGGCUGCAAGAAUCAAGGUCUAUCAACAGAUCAAAUUCCAAAGGCCACCACCAAAGUGCCUGGCAAAUCACUAAUAAAUCAGGGAAUAGGAUCCACUUUGGAUUCUCUUUUUGAAGAUUCAGAUGAUAAAUUAAUCGUGUUCGUUCAUCGUGUAUAAUACGUUUAGAAAUUAUUUUAAAAUUUUAAUUUAAAAUUAAAUAUAAAUAGUAUUUAAUGAAAACUGAUCGUAUGAUGUAUGAUAAACAGACACGAUUGAUGGAUUUCCAGAUUCCCAAAGAGGAUCCUUGUUCAUAAAUCAGAUUAUUCAUGGCAUAUAUUAUUAAUUUAUUUAUAUUAUAAAAGGAAAAAGAUGAAAACAGAGUAUUAUUAUUUAUUAAUUUAAGAUCUGACUGUUCACUUCACGCAAAUGGAGGUUGCUCAUCAGAGAGAAUCAAAUCGGAUAAUCAAUCUCUCUCUCUUCAUCAUUCCUCCACAGUGAAAAGUGGGCCCACUUUGAUAAAUUCAUCCAAUCAAUUAAUUUGAAUUUUUAAAAUUUAAUCAAACGACUAAAAAUAUGAGACUUUUUAAAAAUUAUAAUAAAUUUAGCCGUUAAAUUAAUUUUUAAAAUCUGGAUUAAAUGAUUUUGGAUGGAUUUGGUGAAAGAAUCCGAAGAGGAUCCCUUUCCAAUUUUCUUUCCCAAUUUUGACGCCGCCGGUGUUGGACGCUGCGCUUCGGAGUGAAAGUCAUCGACACAUCCAAAAGAAAAUCAAACUUAAAGUUGAAAAAAAAAAAUUUAAGUUGGGGUCUUUCAAAAAUGUAAUUUAAGAUAUUGGUCAAAAUUGGAUAAAGGGGUGGAAGCUUUUAAGUGGGAGAUGGGAGGCUUUCAGAUUUAGCAGACUGAAGUUAUGAUGAUGAACAAUUUGAAUUGAUUCAUCCUUCAUGACUUUACAAUAAGAUCAAAUCCAGAGGUAUCCUAAUCAUGCGGAUACAACUUUCUUUCUUGUCUUUUACUUCUCUUGAGAAUAAGGAUCUCAUGGGAUUUGGGACUUUUCGUUUUAGGCAGAUGGUUGAUCGAUCGGCACAAUAUAAACUAGUCAAGUGGUUUAUGUUUACGUGGUUAUUUGCCUAACCUCAUAAAGGUGAUAAAAUUUGCAGUUUUUAGUAUUGUUGGAUUUACUUGCAACUUUCAAUUCAAUUGCUGGAUUUAUCUCGCAUUUGAUAAUUUUUUGUAAUAUGACCAUAUCAUAGUCGUCUUGUAAAUUUUAAUGGAGUAAAAUAAAUGGAACUUUAAAGAAAAGCUCAUGCUACUGUUUACUAUAACGAAAAACCAUAUUUUUACACUAAGAAAUCAAUCAUGGUACUAUUCACUUCACCCUUUAUUUUGUCAUUAUCGUUAAAACUCAAAGUUUUCAAGUCAUUUUCAUUAAUUUUCUUUAAAAUAAAUUGUUGAUCCUUGAACAAUGAUCAAAUUGUAGGUUUAUUUGCGCAAUUAAAAAUUCAUUAAAAUUAAUGUAAAUUUGACGUAAUGUGAAGUAUGGAUCAUUUUUAUUAAUCUCUUUGAUAAUUUCCAACUUCACAUGAAAUGAACGUGACCCCCUUUCAAGUAGUAAAUCGAAGAGUUGCACGUAUGUCUCUUUUGCCUCCAGUGACCGAUAUUUCACAUUUUGUCAAGUUCAAGUACUAAUUUUAAUAAAUUUUUAGUUUAGAAAUUAAAACUACGAUUAACUCAUAAUUUAAAAACCAGUACUCCAGUUUACUGUAUUAGUUAAUAGACCACUUUCCAAAUGUAUAUCCUUUGCAAGCACCAUUGAACCUGGGAGCUGUUUGAGUCCAAGUAAAAUAUGCCUUAUUUUCUGACCAAGUAUUUUUAGGCACUACCACCAUAUCAAACUCAUUUUUCACAUAGUGCAGCAUUAGUGGUAAAAGUUGAAUCGAGAUCUUAUUCAAUCUCACAGUCCACGAAACAAGAAAUCAUAAUCACUUAUUUUAAAUCUUACAACCCCCUUAGCCUAUUUUUUGGCCCACCUCACAUAAACGAAGAGUCUUAGGACUGGUUUGGUAUUGUUGUACUUUGCAAAAAAAACUGUUUCUGAUGUGCUGUGAGAAUAGGCAGCAGAGUGUUUGGUAAACUUUUUUGUAAAAGUGAUUUUGGAAAAAAAAAAUAGUAUUAUAGUGUUUGGUAAACUUUUAUGUAAAACAGAUGUGACUGUGUGAAAUGACUAAAAAGGGUUUGGUCUUAUUUAGUGUACCUUGAGGGGCCCACUCCUUUUAUUUGGUCUCCCUCUUCUUCUCUCUUUCUUCCCUUUUUCCCGUGAGACUCUCCUUUAUCUCUAACUCUCUCUCUCGAUGAUACUUUCACUCUUUCUAAUUACCGAGAGAAUCACCUAUGCCAACACCAAUUUUCAAGUGAAAUCCAUACCAAUAUUCCAUGUUUUAGGUGUAGUUUGACCUAUGGAUUCGAAUGGUGGCGUUGCAUGUGAAGAUCAAGUACUCAAAAAUGAAGAAAGCCAACCCUUCCCUCUUGGUGAAAAACUCUUUGACGAGUGGACCUAAGACUUGACGAAAUUAGGGUGCUUCAAACUCAAUUCAACCUUCAUUUAAUCUCACGUACAACUUAUGUAUCCUGCAUAUCGAAUUUUGGCAUGAAUUUGGAUCCCGGAUUCAAAUUGUAGGGAUCUUAGGGAUCCUUACAUCUUAGUCAUUCAUCGUGCAUCGUGAGGUCAGAAAAUAUUUGACUUUUUUUUAUUUAAAAUUAAACACAAAUAGUACCUGACUAAAACUGACCGCACGAUGUACAAUGAAUGAUUAGAUUGUAAGAAUUCAUAGAAGCCCUACUAAGUAAAUCCGGAGGGGAUCCUCUUCCUAAAUUUACCAAGAACUGCAUAGGCAUAUCCAUCUAAUCCAAUAUUUCCAAGACCUUCCAUGCUUUUUUUAAUUAAUUGGCCAUAUGCAGGAGACCAUGGUUAACCCAAAUCUGUCAUUUAACUAUGAAUCAUCUCCUCAAGAUCUUGAGUAGAUAUGACAUGGCCCUUAAAUCAAUCAAAUGCCCCUCCAUCCCCAACCAAAAGAUAUAGAAAGAUACUAUACAAUUCAACUUUUUUAUUCCUAACACAUUUUUCAACUCUUCAACGUGAGAAAACUUCGUUAGAACAGUCUGAUCAUAAUACAAAUCAAGUAAUUUCGUAAAAAAUUAGAUCCGUAGUUUAGAAAUUUUACCUAUCUAAAAUCCUCCCUAUUCAUCUUAAACAUUGUAUUUCCAAUAUUUACUAAAAAAUUAUGGAAAAUAUGGAACAAAUAUACUAUUGAAAGAUUUGGCAUGGGUCAAUUGAUUUUUUUGAAUACAUUCGAUAUUAUCUAUACUAAGAGAUAAAGAUAGUAGGUUAAACCUCGCAAUAAGCUAGUCAAAAUAUUUUAGUUCAGAUUCGAUUUCGACGAGACUUAAAGAUAGAACCUUUUACCUAUAAAUGAAAUUAAAUAUCACUAGACGACACUAUUAAUUAUUGUGGACUAACUAGUUUUGAAUUUUCAAAGUUACAAAACAAGGACUUGAAGUCAAAUUCAAAUAAUCACAAUGUUUAUUGUCUCUUGUCACUGGGCAUGGAUGGGUCAUGGGUCCAUGGGUGUUCAUCCAUAUGAUCCACAUUUUAGCUAGGUUUUGACCAUUGGAUUCAGCACACUGGAUUGGAACAGAAAUCAUUAAAUCUGAAAUCGAGAAACUGCCUUGUUGGAGCUGCAUGCAGCCAAGUCAAAAAGACACCAGCUUCUACUGUAACCCCACAAAUCUCAAUAUAGAUUUUACAAAUCAAAGCGAACGUUAAACAUUUUAUGUGAUUGAGUGUAAGUAACAACGAAGUUAAAUCAUUUAUUAGAUUUCAUUUCAUUGCUUACUUAAGUUUAUACGUCGAUUUUAAGUUAAAUCAGUUGGUUUUGUAUACAAAUCAGGAUUCUACAUUGAUAAGAUAUGAUAAAAUCUUAGGUCUGAUACUCGAAUUAAAAUUUGUGGGGUCACACGCACAAAAUCAAGACUCGUGUAAAGACCACAUGUUAUUGCACUCAUGUGAGUAGUGUCAUGUUGAGAUUACAGUAUUUACACUAAUUCUUUACAAACAGUAACACCAAAAAACUGCGCACUACAAUAAGUAAGAGUUAAACUUUAUAUCUUUAUAUUUGCUUUUACUUUUUCAUAAAUGAUAUAAUAAUUCAUUUAAAUUACACAAGUAGAGACUCAAAGUUGAGUGAAGAAAGUGGAGCACCAACUUAAGGAAACCCGGAUUUGGACGCUCUAUUAGUAAUUUUACUAACACAAUUACCUAAAUUCAUGACACUUCAACCAUGAUGUACAAAAUGUAGUUUAUACCAGUUGGUUAGGUCAAUAUACUCGUUAUUUUGUUGCACUAAAAUUCAAAUCCAAUCUCCUAUAAGUUAAUAUUGGUUUAAAUUCGUCAUUGUUAGAAAAAUAGAUCACGACCUUUACUCUUGUUAUAACACUUCGAUUAGUAACACACGGUCACACUACAAAACUUCACUCGUUAAAUUCAUUCAAGUAAAUAUACCAAUAAAAUAGUAUUGGUUUGCAUAUAAACUUGGUAGAAAAAUAGGUCUCUAUUUUUACUCGUAUUAUAACACAUCGAUGAAUAACAAUGCAGAUUAGUGACACUCGAAAACUUCACCCAUUAAACUCGAGUAAAUAUAUACCAAUAAACAAGGAUUGACAGGACAAUAGACAAGUAAUCCUCUCUGCUAGAUUUGCAAAGAGAAAAGAAAAUCUCAGAGAUAUAUCGGAUCAUCAGAAUCUCAGCUUUAGCCUUUUGCCUAUUUAAAGCAAAACCCAACCACCUCUUUCUAUUUCCCAUUUCGUACGCCUCUCCCCACUAUAAUAUAUCACACACCUUCCUCUUAACGCCACAACAAACUCUUCAAACACCUUAUUCUUCUUCUCCUCUGGUUCUUUUUACGUUUUCCACGCUUACCCUUUUCACCUGACGCCCUCUUAAGCUCAAUGGCGACGGCAGGCGAGAUUCUCAGGCGGAAUCUGACCGAAAGUUUUGAUCUUUCCGGUGAUUCGCAGAUGGGUUCCGGCGAGCUGCAUGUUCUUGCUGUGGAUGACAGCCACGUGGACCGGAAGGUCAUUGAACGCCUGCUAAAGAUAUCAUCCUGCAAAGGUACGCAUACACCCCCCGGAUUGGUUUUUUAUUUUUUUCUGAGAAAUGUUGUUUUUUGAUUGGUUGGUUUAUGAAUGAUUUGAAUUUUCUUUUGCAGUGACGGCUGUUGACAGCGGGACGAGAGCUCUGGAGUAUCUGGGCUUGGAUGGAGAGAAGAGCUCGGUUGGAUUUGAUGUAAGAAAACUUCUGCCUUUAAUCAGUUUGGUUUCCAAGAAAAUGAAGGAAAAAUAUGACAUUUUCUCAGCUGCCAAACGGAAAAUGAAACGUCUUGUUUCGGUUUUAUGGGGGUUUUCUUAAGUUUAUGUACUUUUUUUUGUGGUUGCAGAACAUGAAGGUGAAUUUGAUCAUAACGGACUACUCAAUGCCAGGGAUGACAGGAUAUGAACUGCUAAAGAAAAUCAAGGUUAGCCCUUUAAUCUUGUUUUAAUCACGAUUAAGGAGUGAUUUACAAUUGGAUUCUGAGUUUAUCAUAGCUGUUACUUGGAGAUUAAUUUUUUGAUCUGCAUAUGAACAGGAAUCAUCGGCUUUUCGAGAAGUUCCGGUGGUGAUCAUGUCAUCAGAAAACAUCCUUACUCGUAUUGAUAGGUAUAUAUAAUGCGACGAAGAAUGUCUGUUUUAUGUUUUACUAUUACUUGAUUUGUUUUUUAAUCAUAAGCCAGAACGAUUAUAAUUGUUAAUUAGCCAUAUAAUCCUAUGAAAUUUGGUAGUUAAAACAAUUAUACAUAACGAUCAAGCAAUCACAUAAAGAUUAUAAUUGUGAGUAAUUCAUAUAAUCUGUCGUUUUUGCAUGAUUAUCUAUUAAUUUGCGAUUUCGAUUUACGCCAUUGGAUUUAGGGGAUUCUUAUUGAUCUAAAUCAACAUUUAAUUAGUUUGCCGGAUCAUUUUGUUUAAUCUUUUUGUCAGAUCAGUGUGUGUUAUUCUGUAUUCUGAUCUUCAUGAUCUGCAGACCUAGAAUUUCUUAAAAAAUGGACCAAAAUUUUAAAUAAUAGGAAAAUAUUGGUGUUUUUUCGAAAUUAUGAAAAAUAUUUUAGGCACCAGUUUUAGUCGUGAAUCUUUUGGGGAUCAACCAAAUCUUAUAAAAUAAUGUCCUAACAUGGUUGGUUCAAUUAUAUUAAAAAUAACAAUUAUUAUUAUGUUUUCCAGGUAUUAAUCAUUUAAUAAAUCCCCCCAUGUUUAUGGCCCCCAUUUCAUUGCCCCUUCAUGGAGUCUAACGGGCAAAAUCUGCCGCGUACAGAUUUUAUGGGCAUGAUGUCUUAUUCUAUAAGAUAGUGUUAGCUUAAGGUCCUAACGCUGAAUGUGUUUUAACUUUCUCACGUGACAUUGUAUCAUGGGUUUAUGCUGAAUGUGUUUUAACUUGCUCACGUGACAUUGUAUCAUGGGUUUAUGCUGAAUGUGUUUUAACUUGCUCAUGUGACAUCGUAUCAUGGGUUUAUGCUGAAUGUGUUUUAACUUUCCCACGUUGACAUUGUAUCAUGGUUUUCGGAUGCCACAGUCCCAUAGGUGCCGGAAAGUCUCUCACUAAACUAAGUUUCGAGACGAUCAUGAAUUAUUAUCUUUCCUUUGGGUGCUUAAUGUCUGUUACCCUUGUUCUUUGACUGAUCAAUCUCUUACAAAUUUGUUUUACAGAUGUUUAGAGGAAGGAGCUGAGGAAUAUAUAGUGAAGCCGGUGAAGCUUUCCGACGUGAACCGCUUAAAAAACUUCAUGAUGGGAGGAGGAGAAAGAAAAGAAACCGAAGAGAAAAAGAUUCACAAAAGAGCAUUUUCAGUUGACUACAAUGCAUCAUCAUCUCCCUCCUCUUUACCACAACUUUCGCAACCGUUCGCUUGCAAUCUAGCAUCGUCUCAGCUACCAACUUCGUCACCAUCAUCGUCGUUGCCAAAGAGACCGAGAUUGCACACGAUGGAUUGAUCAUUAUGUCUGUGCCAUUAGGGUUAUUGUAAUUCCACAUUUUGACACACAGCGCCCCCCAUUUUGCAGAACAGAGAAAUUCCUGCUGCCAAUGUCUCUGUGAAUUUUCUUCCACUGCCAUAUGUAAAUUCCAGCAUCAAAAUUUCACUUGGACCAGGAAAAAGAAGGGGGGAAAGAGCAGACAUAUAUGAAAGUCUUGGAUUAAAAAGUCCUUUUGCUUCCUACUUUUUGUUGAUUUUGCAGAUGGAAAUCUGAAAACAAUCAAUGAAAAUCCCAGACAUUUGAGGGGAAUAUUUUGUUGUCUCAAUGAUCUUUAUUCCUUUGUUGAAUUUUUCUUGCCAACCACGCAAUGAUUUUCUUUUUCUACAAACGAUAAUAUUUAUAAAGAUAAUUUUAUCAACGAUUUAACCUAAUAUUGAACCCACUAUGUGUGUGUGUGUAUUUGUCCUUACGUAUGAGUCCAACAAUAUUCUACAACUAAAUUAAACUUGAAUGCCAAUAGAUUGACUAUUCCUAAACAUUAAUAUCAAACUCAAUUUAUGGUUCUUGCUCAUGUUGAAUACAAAUGUUAGUCUACAACUAAAUAAAAACUAGGUGCCGUUAAACUAUCUGAUGGCUUAAUAUCAAAUUCACUAUAUGUACCGUUUUUGUAUCCGUCAAUCAAACGAUAUUCUACAACUAAAUGGGCACCUGACGCUAGACCAACUGAUGGUGUACAGUCAUUCAAAUGAUUCAGUAUCCGAUUUGGUGUCAAUUUUUACCCUUUGGUUUUGGAAUAAUGGAAUAAUUUCACGUGAUGUGUUUAUGCAUGUUGCUUCUGAAAACCCUAAUUUGGUGCCAAAUGUUUUGUCAAUGGGGCCACGAUGGAAAGAUUUGAGGUAAACGUGUGAAUGUACGAUCUUUAAGGGAAAUCCAGCAAACUGUUUUUUUUGGGCUUUAAAGACGAGCAAGGAGAGAUGUAGAAUUUGAAUCAUUAGCCUCACUGGUGAUAAGGGACCCAAUAUCUGAGAUUCCUUCCAUGAGGCUUCUCCAAUGCUUUCCUUCUUUCUUUUUUGAGGGACCACAAAGGGUCAUGUCGUCUGAACCAGACAUGGUUGGGUUGCUUUCCAUGUCUAUGAAGGAUUAAUACUUUUUGACCAUGAGCGUAAGAUUUGUUGCAAGAGUAUGCUAGCAUUAGUCGCCCAAGCAUUCAUAAGUGACUAUGAGACAAUGGCAGGCUUAAGAAAUAUUAUUGGGAUGAAAUACCAUGUAAAUUGGUAUUUCAUCAAGUUUUGGUAGGCCUAAGGUCGGUUGUCAAGUCAUAUUAUGUAUCUAUCGACAGAUGUCAACUACUUUCAAUCGCAUAUCGACAGAUGUCAAUAGAUUUUGAACGAGCAUGCCACAAAUGCCAACAUACGCCGAGUGAGCCUAUCAAAAUAUAGCAACGUAUACAAAUACAUGAGGUUAGCAGCUACCCUACUCAAUACCCAUAAAAGCAAUUCGUCGAUCAAUUAGAAGACAACUUUUCAAAGCAUGUCAUAUUUACAAAAGACAGCACCCAACUCUUCUGUUCAAAAACUGUGAAGGGUUCAGCCAAUCCACCUUGCCGAAUGGUGGAUCCGCCCGAGACAGUGUUGCAAAAUGGGUAAAGUGUAUGGGUAAUUGUGGACCGCUAGGGCAGAGUACCCUAUUGCAUUUUAGCCCAUCAUAAACCUAAUUUACACUUCAUGCUCUCAUAAUAAAGGAAAAUAUCAACAUGUUUUUAUUAACACUUCACAAAUUGUUGAAUAAACAUCACAUACAUCAUACAUUUGCUUUUUCAAUUAAAAAUUAUCUUAAUACACCCACUUCCUUCCCAUAAUACCCUCACACCCCACAUUUUCAAUAUACACCUUAUAUUUUAUAUAUACACCCCAUAUUUCUCAAAUCUUAUAACAUUCAUUUUUAAUUUUGUCGAAUGAUUUCAAACCAUCUGAAUGUUAGUUUGCCAAAUGAUUUCAAAUUAAAUGAUUUGAAAAUAAUCAAUAACUAUUUGCUAAGAAUCAUCAUACAACUCAAUAUCAAUAUUAGUCUAAGACUUUAAUCAGUAAAGGGGGCGUAGUCUUAUGCUUUGUUAGUCUUAUGCAAAUAAUCAAUAAAGCUUCUUAUUUGGACAAAAAAUGCCGAUUGACAAAAGAUGCCACCUAGGAUUUAAGCAUAUGUGGGUUUGUUUUCAAUUCCAACAUUAAAAUCCAUGUCGUCUAUUUUUAAUAUUGGGUGGUAAUUUUAAGUGUUUAAUUCUUCAUGUAACCCAUGUGAUCGCUAAAAGAUGAAUGUGAACAUAGAAGCUUAAAUAACGCAGUAAAACCAAAAUUAAAUCAUUUUCGAUGUCGUCGAAAUCACUCAAACAAUGAAAAAUAUGAAGUCUUACCUCAUGUGAAGCUUUUGAAACACUGAUUUCGUAUUCCAUUCGUCAAAAAUAAUUUUUCUUAAUCAAUAUGUUUGUAGUUUCAUUGAUUAGGGUUUUAUUCAACAAUGGUGGGUGAGAGGGGUUUUGAUAGUCGAAGAAGAUAAGUAAUACAUUAAAAGUGAUUUAGGGUGUAUUUAGAAAUUUUUUAUUUUUUUUAACCUAAUAAGGUCAAAAUUGCCAUUGCAUAGUAGGAUAAAUAAGUCAUUAAUAUUAUGUUAAUGUGGGGUGCAUUCAAUAUUUUGUGAGGUGCUAAUAUAAAAAGCCUAUAAAAUUCUUGCUUUGCAUUUGGUGAACCGUUGAUCCGUUGUGAGUGUAGACCGAGGAUGCAUUUUGAGCAUGUUAGCUCUUUGGUGAUACGUCGUGAGACUAACUCUGAAUCAACAAUCUACAGUCGCUUAUGCACAUGAUCUUAACAUAUUUCUUAUUACGAAUAAUUGAAAGCUAAAAAUACAGUACGUAUACUUCGAUUGCAGGCACUAAUUCCAUACAGCUGUGGUGAGCUUUGCUGAAGCCCUAUGGCAUAUUGCAGGUUCUUUUUAACUUUGUUAAUAACGAAUAAUUAAGCACAUUUCAAUAUCUUUUUUUUUAUUAUUAUAAUUUAACAACCAAACAAUGCUAAUAGAAUAUAAUAUACGUGGAGAUAGAGACAAAGAUGGCUAUACAUUAUUCUUUCACCAUCGCCAUGUACAUCCUACUAAACAAUGAAGACGAAACAAAAACAAAAACCCUUAAGUGCAGAAAUAAAUGCUCUUAACUACUUGACUUACAACUACAGACGUCUUGUCACAAAAUAAAAUCUAAUACAAAAUUUUCAUCAAAAUAGAACAUGAGGAUCACUUAACCAACAAUAAACUACCGUAAUUUAGUGCCCAUCUUUUGACCAUUUGGUGUUCAUCAGAUUCUAUUUUCACUAAAAAUUCGAAACUCGUUAUAUUUGUGUAUAUUUCCGUUUAUGAUGUCAACGAACUUUUAAUUCACCAGCUGGAAUUUGGAAUUCUGCUAUGAAUCCAAAAUUAAUAUCCACCCAUAUUCCAUACAUGGAAUUAAGAAUCCCACCAACAUCUCCAAUUACCUGCAUUUGGCGUAAUCUACAACACUGCAAAUUCAAGGACGGCUAACAAAAACCUCCACCCAACCAUCUGCCAAUUGCUCACUACUAGCCCCCCCCCCCCCCCCUUCUUUACAAAAUGACACAAACCUUCAUGGCUACAAUCCAACCUCUUCCCUUUGAACUUGUAGCUGCACUGCCCCAUCAAGGUUAUUACAGUAAUUUCAUUAAAACAACAUCAACAAGGCAAACAACUACCUUCAUUGAAACUGUCAACAACCAGCACCGAAACAUUUGAACUGAAGUUACUCAUCAUCCAAAAAAAUCCCAACAAAUAAACCUGUUCUUUUGGUCCUCCUUUUUCCAAAAGCACUAGUUAUCGAACGGCUUUUCUAAGAAGUAGUUUUCCUGAUUAUUCUCUAGUGGUCUCUCAGGUGUGUAACCCUAGCAAUGCCACAGUCCAAAGGAACAAUACUUGCCGAGACUAUUGCAGCAACAGCUGUAGCCACUCUAGUUAUUGCCGGAAUCUUGUUCUUCGUCUACGGACUCCUCGCUGCUCGCCGCAACACAAAAGGCAAGGAAAAUGGGAGUUUUCGCCGCGAAGAUGUUGCGAUGAAUCGUGAGGAGUUUAGGCAAUGUGGUGGGAAUGUGAAGGGGUUAAUUGUUGAUGAGAAUGGUGUGGAUGUUAUAUACUUGAAGAAAUUAGAAGCUGGACAGGCUCAUACAAAUUUUCCAAAGAUUAUGUUUAACCCUAGUUUUGAAGAUGAUGAUGAUGAAGAACAAGAAAAAAAGGUGGAUUCUAAGCCGUCUGACUUAAUCAAUCAUGAUCAAUUGGUAAAAAAACCAUUUUCUCUACAUCCUCCAAGACCUCUACUUAGAAAAAUUUCACCAAAAGUGUUGGAAAAGCAUGCUCUAGAAUCACUGCCUCCACCAACACCCCAACCGGCAAACGGUAAAUCUGCACCGCCGCUACCGCCUCCGCCUCGACCUCCUCCUCCUCCACCGCCAUCGCCACCUGUUAUGGUAAAAAAGAAUCCUCUACUCCGCCUCCGCCGCCUCCGCAAAUCCUGGUUUGCAGGUUUGUCACUAAAACCGCCGCCUGCACCUAAGGGCAGAGCAAGCUACAAGAGCAGGGCAGAGACCUCAACAGGGGAGGAGGGUUUAAAAGCAACCGGUGGCGGGCAAACGAAGCUGAAGCCGCUGCACUGGGAUAAGGUUAUGGCUGCCGCUGAUCAUUCAAUGGUUUGGGAUCAAAUCAAUGAUGGAUCAUUCAGGUAAUCAAGUCUCACUCUUAUUACAUUAUACUUAAACCGAAAAACUGAAAUGGUUAUUAAACGAGCAUAUUAUCUUACUUUUCGUUUCAUGUCACAUGAUCAUAACUUAGGCUAGUUCGUAUGUUUUAUGCAGAUUUGAUGAUGAGCUUAUGGAAAAUCUCUUUGGUUAUUCCAAAAUUAAAAACCAAUCCUCUGAGAGAAACAACCACAUGCCUUCAGCUUCAAGCAAACCUAACUCUGCCCCAACAUCUCAAGUUUUCAUCUUAGAUCCUCGAAAGUCUCAGAACACCGCAAUCGUGCUAAGAUCUCUCGCAAUCUCUCAAAAAGAAAUCGUUACUGCCUUGCUUGAUGGACAAGGACUUGGUGCUGAUACACUAGAAAAGCUCACCAAAAUUUCUCCAACCAAAGAGGAAGGAGCAAAAAUCCUCCAAUUCAAUGGAAACCCUAGUACACUAGCAAUUGGUGAAUCUUUCCUCUACCACAUUUUGAAGGCUGUUCCUACGGCAUUCACGCGUUUCAAUGCGAUGCUCUUCAGAGCAAACUACGAUCUUGAAGUCCUUCACCUCAAGGAAUCCUUGCAAACACUUGAACUUGGGUGCAAGGAGCUAAGAACUCGCGGGCUCUUCCUAAGGCUUCUCGAGGCAAUUCUCAAAGCCGGCAAUAGAAUGAAUGCUGGAACUGCAAGAGGCAAUGCACAAGGCUUCAACCUAAGUGCUCUUCUAAAGCUAUCCGAUAUCAAAAGUACUGAUGGAAAGACUACUCUACUUCACUUUGUGGUUGAACAAGUAGCUCAAUCCGAGGGGAGAGGUUUCGUGAUAAAUCAAAACCGCAGCUUUGGAAGAAACACUAGUCAAAGAAGCGAAACUAGUACACUGAAUUCGGAUAAUCUAACCGCUGAAGAGCGAAGAAAAGAGUACUUAAUCCAAGGGUUGUCAAAGCUAGAAGGAUUGAGCACUGAACUAUCCAAUGUGAAGAAAGCAGCAACCAUAGAGUAUGACAGCUUCAUCCACAUGUGCUCUGCUCUAAGCAACCGUGUCAGCGAAAUCAAGAAGCUUUUGGCUGAGAGUGGCAAUGCUGAGAGAGGAGGGUUUGCAAGAGAAAUGAAGGGGUUUUUGGAGGAAUGUGAGGCGGAGCUCACGGUGGUGAGAGAAGAGCAAACUAGGGUUAUGGAGCUUGUGAGGAAAACAACCGAGUACUACCAAGCAGGAGCUUCGAGAGACAAAGGAGCUGCACCAUUUCAGCUGUUUGUUAUUGUGAAAGAUUUUCUAGACAUGGUUACUCUUGUUUGUGCAGAAAUUUCAAGUAAACUACAGAAGAAGAGUUCUACGAAAGCGGUAGGAUCAUCGUCACCGCCACUGUCACCUUCAAGCAUAACAUCAAAGAGGUUGAUGAACUUUCACUCACAUUUUGUUUCAGAUGUGUCAUGGACAUCUUCCAGUGAAUCAGAAGAUGAAUUCUGAAGCUGAUGUAAUAUAGUUUUGCUAGAAUUAUUAAAUUUCUAUGCAUUUUUUUCCUUUUCCCACAUUUUCUCGGCAAACCAUGUUUAGGAGGGGGUGUAGUUGAAUUAAGAUUUGAAAUAAUUUUAAAAGACUUUAGUGUAGUCAGUUAAGAUUUUAAAGUGAUUUUUAUUUAUUUUUUAAUAAAUGAUAUUAUCCACCCUAAGACCAUUUUCAAUGGUUGGGCUAAAAACUAAAUAUUUUAGUCCAGAAAAUUUAGCUUUUAGCCCAGAAACAGCUUUUCUGCUCCAACAGUUCUAACCUAAAAUUUUAGCCCGGGAUUAUUAAAGAAUGAACUUAGGCUAUUUUUUUGUUAAAUUAAUUUUUAAAAAAUAAAUCUGUAGACUAUCGAAAAUUAAUUUUAUGAACAUUUUAAUCUAAAAAAAAAUUAAAUUCCGAUAAAUAUUGAAAAUUUUAAAUUCCGAUUUCUAGGCUAAAUUUCGGGGGGAAUUUGGUCUUGGUUUAGCAUUUAGCAUUUAGCCCAAAUUUUCCCUUGGGUUAGACCAUCUCCAAUCCUGGGUUAAAAGCCAAAUUACCCCCCCAAACACUCUCCAACCCAUGCUAAAAUUUUAGGCUAAAUGCUAAAUGCUAUUUCUGGGCCAAAUACCCCCCAGCUUUCCCCCCGGGCUAAAUGCGAAAUGUUUAUCGGAAUUUAAAUUUUUUUAGAUUAAAAUGUUCAUAAAAUUAAUUUACAAUAAUCUACAUAUUUAUUUUUUUAAUAAAAAUUGAUUUAAGAAAAAAAUUUAGGCUAAUUUCAUUCUUUAAUAAUUCCGGGCUAAAAUUUUAGGGUAGAAGGGUUGGAGCAGAAAAGAUGUUUCUGGGCUAAAAGCUAAAUUUUCCGGGCUAAAAAAUUUGGCUUUUAGCCCAAGGGUUGGAGAUGGUCUUAGAGUGGGUUUGGGGGGAAAUUUUGGGGGGGGGUAAUUUGGCUUUUAGCCCACCAUUGGAGUUGGUCUAAAGGGGGGGGUGGGAGAAUGAGUCUCAUAAUGAGCUUACAAUAAUGUGGUUUAAAUUCGCAUUUAGCAAGAAUCGAACUUAAGACCUCUCACUUACAAGUGAAAAGAAAUACCACUAAACUGUAGUACUAAGUGGCUAAAAGAUGAUUUUAAAGAACUUUAAAAUCAUGGCGUAGUCAAAGUAGUAUUUAAAAGAAUACAUUCAAAUAUAGGUGUAGUCAAUUAGGAUUAUAAAAAACUGUCUAUAAAAAUUAUAGGUAUUCAAAAUGUUUGAAUUUCAAUAAGUAGGAAAUUUUGUAAAAUUUAAGAGCAAUUUUUUUGCAUAAUAAAGACUUAAGGCUAGUUUGGGAUUGCUGUGUUUUUUUAAUAAAUUGUUUCUGCUGUGCUUUAAGAAUAAUCAGCUGGAAAAUAAAGCAGUUGAGUGUUUGAUAAACUUGUAGACAUCGAAAUUUCGUAAAUAAAUGUUGACCGAUAAAUCAAAGUGUCAACGCUCAUGUAUUACAUAAAUUUUACACGUAGCGUGUGACUCAACGAAAAUUGAAAUGAGUUGGAAAAGUCAUCAAAUAGGACACGUGUCAACGCCUGGCAGAAACGACUUAUUUCAUCUGGAAUAUUAUAUUCAAAAUUAGGCCUUGGAAAAUUCUAUAAAUACAAGCCCAUUUCAUUCAUUUUUAGGGGACCAAUUCACAUUACACCUUAAAGCUCGGAAGCUCUGAAGCUCUGAAACUCCGAAGCUUUCAAGCAUCCAGGUUUCCGAAGAAUCAAGAAAGCCUUCUUCGUUCUUCGUUCAUCAUCGUUCUUCCAAGAUCAAGCCCCGACGGCCCUUGGAUCAACAAUCAUCCACCUUCAAGCCCAAGCCUCAACAGCCCCUUGGAGAAAGUGUUCAUCGUUCAUCAACUGUUCAUCCUCAAGGAUCAAGCCCCAACGGCCCCUUUGGAUUGACAACAUCAACGAAUCCGCUCAUCUCUGUUCAUCAAGUCCAAGCCUCGACGGCCCUUGAAGAAAGCGUUCAUCGUUCAUCACCGUUCUUCGAGAUCAAGCCCAAAAGCCCUCGAAGAUCCGUUCAAGCCCAAAAGCUCUCGAAGAUCCGUUCGUCACUGUUCUUCGAGUUCAAGCCCAAAAGCCCUCGGAAAUCCAUUCAUCAACUGUUCAUCCUCAAGGAUCAAGCCCCAACGGCCCCUUUGGAUUGACAACAUCAACGAAUCCGCUCAUCUCUGUUCAUCAAGUCCAAGCCUCGACGGCCCUUGAAGAAAGCGUUCAUCGUUCAUCACCGUUCUUCGAGAUCAAGCCCAAAAGCCCUCGAAGAUCCGUUCAAGCCCAAAAGCUCUCGAAGAUCCGUUCGUCACUGUUCUUCGAGUUCAAGCCCAAAAGCCCUCGGAAAUCCAUUCAUCACUGUUCUUCAAGAUCAAGCCCAAAAGCCUUUGAAGAUCCGUCAAUCACCAUUCUUCAAGAUCAAGCCCAAAAGCCUUUGAAGAUCCGUUCAUCCUCGUUCAUCCAAGAUCAAGCCUCGACGGCCCUUGGAUCAAUCGCACAUCCCACAAAUCAACACCUUACGGAGAUCGAAUCAGAGGAUCAAAAUAGAGAGAGAUUGUAACCCAAAACUAUCAAAUACAAAUAUUUGUUUGUGCACGUUUGUUCUUGUCUCUUUCGUUUCAGGAAUUUUCUGUGUUCACAAAUUGGCACGCCCAGUGGGACAAUCUCUGCCUCUCAUCUCUUUCUCCGUUCAAGAAAUUCAAGCGCACUUCCAAAAUUAAUGGCAUCAAGGAAGGCUCAAUCUGUUCCCGCAACCGGCGCAAAGAACAAGAGCGUCCUCGUCGCAACUGGUGUCACUUUGGGCAUCACGACUCGAAGCAUGGCAAGAGCUACUUCUGCCGCCUCUUUCACCUCUGCAUCAACUCUGCCAAGGGAACAAAAGCACCCAAGGCACGAGCCUUUGAUCACCUUAGCCUCACUAAGGGCACCGAGGGGGGGAAGCCCAAGGAAAUACUCCGAAUCCAUGCUCUCCGAUGCCGAUUCAAGCGGCAGUGCAGCCAUGCAAGUCAUGACCAUUGGAGCAACUUCAAUCGAUGAGCAGCUGGCUCAGAUGAAUGAAGCAAUCGCAAGGCUAACCCGAACUGUGGAAGAAAAAGACUUGCAAAUUGCAGCACUCGUCAAUCGACUAGAGGCGCAGGACGGCGAUAAACCCGACCCAGAGAGUGAUCCACUAAAGAGAAGAGAUGAUGAAGAAGAAGAGCCUCAGGUGGAGAAAAACGAUGCGAAGCCGGAGCCAGACCAAGCAGCGGCACUCAUGGCAUCUCUUUCUAUCCAGCAGCUGCAGGAGAUGAUCACCAAUACCAUCAAGGCACAGUACGAAGGGAGCUCACAUACCUCCUUGUUCUACUCGAAGCCCUAUUCCAAGAAGAUUGAUGCCCUAAAGAUGCCGAGGGGAUAUCAACCACCAAAGUUCAUGCAAUUUGAUGGAAAGGGAAACCCGAAACAGCACGUUGCCCACUUCGUUGAAACUUGCAACAACGCAGGAACCGAAGGGGAUUACCUCGCCAAGCAGUUUGUGCGCUCGCUGAAAGGAAACGCCUUUGAGUGGUACACAGACCUAGAGCCUGAGUCCAUCAACAGCUGGGAGCAGUUAGAGCGGGAAUUCCUCAACCGCUUCUAUAGUACCCGCCGCACUGUGAGCAUGCUAGAGCUAACGAGCACAAAGCAGUGGAAGGACGAGCCAGUCAUUGACUACAUCAACAGAUGGCGCACUCUAAGCCUCGACUGUAAAGACAGGCUCUCAGAAACCUCUUCAAUCGAGAUGUGCAUCCAAGGCAUGCAAUGGGGUUUGCAAUACAUCCUUCAAGGCAUUAAACCGCGGACCUUUGAGGAAUUGGCCACUCGCGCCCAUGACAUGGAGUUGAGCAUCGCCCAUCAUGGGAAGAAAGAACCGAUCGCCGACUACAAGAACGACAAAGUUCUUGGGACAAAGGUGGAAAAGGUUGCAUGGAAACCCACCAAGGAAGCGAUGACGGUCAACACAGCUCCCGUCAAAAUCUCCACACGAGGCAAGGCGAUUCAAGCCGAAGGCUUUCGUGAUCAAGAGAUGCGUAGACGCACUUUGAAGGAGCUUGAGGAGAAAAACUUAUCCAUUCCCCGACUCUGAUGUGGUUGCCAUGUUAGAAGACUUGCUGGAAAAGAAGGUGAUCGGCUUGCCUGAGUGCAGACGGCCAGAAGAGAUGAAUCGUACUGACAGUCCAAGAUACUGUAAAUUCCACCGCUUCAUCAGUCAUCCGACAGAAAAGUGCUUCGUGCUGAAAGAUCUCAUCAUGAAGCUGGCUCAGAAAGGAAUCAUCGAGCUAGAUCUUGACGAUGUGGUGAAGUCAAACUAUACCACUUUCACUUCCGGCUCUUCCGACUCAAAGUUUUCACCUCAACCGCUGGGGGCAUCCUCCAAGACAAGCAAAGUUGAAGGAUGGACUCAAGUCACUCCUAAGAAAUUGCACAAGAAGCAUACGUCUCCUCCACAUGUUCGCCAAUCGGAAAGAGGGCAAAGCAGCUCUUGUCAACCUUCGAAGCAACGUGAACGUGUUGAAGAUGAUGAAAUUUCGACAUAUAGAUCGUCCAUCCCCAUCACGAUGCGUGAUUUCUUGCCCGAAGACUUCUUCAAUCACUCGGUCAAGGCUCCUUGCUAUGAAGAUUGUGAGGAACGCCUCUCCAAAAUUGCUUGACGAAUUCACCAAAGCUCAUUGUCUGUAAGAGCCUAAACUGCAAGACACAAGGCUCCUCGCCCGCACGAGCCUAAACUGCAUGGCACUAUGCUCCUUGUUCGCACGAGCCUAAACUGCACGAACCAAAGCUCCUCGCCUGCACGAGCCUAAACUGCACGGCACAAUGCUCCUGGUCUGCACGAGCAUAAAAGGCAACACCAACGCUCCUUGUCUGCACGAGCUGAAACUGCAACACGACACCAAAUGCUCCUUGCCUGCACGAGCUGAAACUGCAACAUGGCACCAACACUCAUUGCCUGCAUGAGUUAAAACUGCAAACGGCACAAAAAAAAUACCAAAUAUAUGUAUGUAUUUUGAACUACGUUUUGACUUGAUCUCCUUCUUUGGAAGGGUACGUAGGCAGCUUGAAUAUUCAAUUUCAAGUUCAGUCACAUCAAAAUUAAAAAAAAAAAAAAAUGUUUAUUAAAUAGAGUUAAUUUUAUUACAAAAAAAAAAAAAAAAAAAAAAUUUCUUUUACAUACAUAUACAUACAUAUAUAUAUAUAUAUAUAUAUAUAUAUAUAUGCAUCAGCAGCAAGCCUAUCAAAAGCUAUCAAAAGGAGGCCAUCCAGGCCCAAGUGACACCCAAGUCCACCAGCUACAAAUCCGGGUCCGGCUCUCAAAGCCCAUCCUCACUUGGAUCCAAGCCUUCAUCUCCGCCGCCACUAUCUCCAAACGUCUCGCAUGCGCCUAAAUCAGAUGGCAGAGGGCCGUUGAUCAGAUUCGAACCCGCUGGGCAACUCGCAAGAGAUCAAAUUGUACAACAAAUCAAGAACCCGAAGCACCAUGGCGUUGAAGAGCGACUGUGGAAGCGACUCGUUGAGGGGAUUGUGGGAAAGAUCGAGAUUUUGAAGGUGUUCGACCAUACCGAGGUUGGCAGGAAUGGAACCCAGAAGCCGAGAGUUGGGAAGAUUCAAACCCACGACUCUGGGGUAGUUCUCCGGCGAUUGGUGUUUACUGCGCCGCACAAACGACGCAUCCUCCUCUUUCUACCUCGAACCAAGACCUUCUUGCUAGAGGUAGUAAAACCUUCCCAGAAUGCCAAAUCUCGAAGCGGAGGUGAUCGCGCCGUCGCCGACGACUCUCUGCUUGCUACGAACCGUUUGGUGGACGAGAUCUGCAGCAAAGGCUUUCAGCGAGACCAGAACUUGUAGCUCGACUGGCGGAGCCACAACUUGCCGUGGAAGCUGAAGCAGCGGACGAGCAAAGAAGUACAGAAGCGGGUCUAUGUCUGCCCCGGAGCUCCAGGUCCUUUCUCCCUCGAAGCAGACAUCCUCCUUGCAGCGGUAAAGAUCAGUUCACUUUCUUCUUCUCCACCGUGAGAACAAUAACCACAGCUGCGCAACCAGAAGUUCAAGUAAAACUUUCAUUGCAGAGAGUCGAUGAGUGUGCUGAAAAGUGUGGGUUCUGUUCGAAUCCGGAUCGCGAUUUGGAUCCCUCGAGCUUUCCUCAUGACAGCCUCGUCUGCCCCGUUUGUAACUCUACCUGGAAAGGUGUCAUUCCCCACGGCACAUGCAUCAUCUUCUUCUCCCAGCCAUUCUCGGCCUACAUCGCCACCUACCAAGACCCAACUCAGAAUGUGGAGAGAUCUCGUUACAUUACCAUGAUGGAACCCAUCAACGGUAGACAAGACCUUCACGUGUCUGUCACCAUGUCUUCCAUUAAGGUUGGUACGGUUGGACGUGGUACACAGCUUACAUCGUUAUCGCAGCUUGUCUGAACCUGCUUGGAGUGAAGGGUACUAACAGAGAGGCACCAAGAUCUCAGCCAUUAGUGCCGCCAUCGAAGACAUCGGCUCUGGCAGCUCCACUAAGUGGUCGAGACUCACCCCAGCUCCCUCGUCCUCUUCUGCCAGCCUUUUCUUCUUUCACUAACAACCUCCGUGACACGGUUGCGAUCGUCCUGUAUCCAUCGUGAUCCUUUCGCUUCCCACAAAAUGUGAGCCGCGACGUCUGCUCCCUCGUCUGCAAGCAUUGGCUUGCCCUCAAGCUCGCCCAAGCUUCAUCAUGCUCCUCCGUCAUCCUCAUCACCCAACGCCGCACCUCCGCUGCAACUUCUCCGCCCAAGGCUGCACCACUCAUCCCGUCUGCACCCGUUUCUGCCCUUCAUCAUGGGAUCCUUCGAUCUCCGACUACGAGGUUAUGGUCAAGAGGCAGUACUGCAAUUUGGCAAGGAGGUUAGAGCUGGCUGACUCCCUCUCUCUAGCUGUAAGAUCUGUGAGGCACUCUCGUGUGAGCUUUAUCUUUCCCGGUGUUUAGCCUUCUCCGCAACGCCGUCGUCGCCGACUCUCCACCAUGGCACCAAGCAACUAGCAGCUUCACAGAUGCUCGACGCCAGCCUUGAGCCUCGCUCCAGCGACUCCAGCUCUCCACCGUGCAGCGCCCUUCAAGCUCAUUAAGGAACUCUGCAGCCUGUGAUGCAAACUCCUCUCCCAUCAUCAAUUUAUAUAAAAUAUAUAUAUAUAUAUAUAUAUAUAUAUAUAUAUAAAGGAGAUGGUGGAAGCUUGGUGGACAACACCAUGCAAAAAAAAAAUAAAUAAUAAUAAAAAAAUAAAAAAUAAAAAAAAAAAAUAAAAAAAAAAAAGAUCUUGGUGUCUAGCACCAUGCAAAAAAAAAAAAAAAAAAGGGUUUUGUGAUGGUGGACAACACCAUGUGCAGAAAUAAAAAAAAAACAUAAAUAAAUAAAUAAAAUAAAGGAAAAUUUGGGGAUGGUGGAUCUGAACACCACCGAAAAGCAAAAGAAAAAAAAGGUGGAUGUGUGUGUAUGCGCAUGUGUGUGGAUGUGUAUUAUAUAAUAUGUCCAUAGCACUACAGCAAAAAAAAAAAAAAAAAAAAAAAAAAAAAAAAUUGCAUUGAGAGAAAUAAAGUCCAUUUUAUUUAUUUUUCUGGAAAUUUUGCAUAAAUUUGCAUUGUACAUACAUACAAAAAAAAAAAAAAAAAAAAAAAAAAAAAAAAAAUCAAAUCAAAUCAAAUUUACAAGAGGGGAUCUUCAAGGACGAUCAGGUGCCGCCUCACCACUCGGCAGAGCGCCAGAAAUAAGAGGCGCUGGAGGUUGACUGUUUGAAGCCUCACCACUCGGCGGAACUCCAGGAAGAAGAGGAGCCAAGGGUUGAUCAUUUGGAGCUUCAUUACGCGGUACAGCCCCAGAAGAUGAAGGCAAAUGCUGCUGGAACAAACCCACAAACCUCUGAUGAUCAAGUAAAAUCUGACCAUCAGAUUCCUGCAUCUGGUCAAUCUUCCUCUUCAUGUUUGUCGCGUAGCUAUGUGCGAGCUUAUGCAGCUGUUUAUUCUCUUGCUUGAGCCCUCUAAUCUCCUGUUUGAGAUUCAUCACUUCAGCCGCCAAUGAUUCAACUUGACGGGUUCGAGCAAAUAGACGUUGGGCCAUAUUAGACACAGAACCUGCACACUGCACACUGAGAGCCAGAGAAUCCUUAACAGCCAACUCAUCAGACCGUUUGGAAAGUAGUCUGUUAUCUCUGGGAGUUACAAGGUUUCGGGCCACCACCGCAGCGGUCAUAUCAUUCUUCAUCACCGAAUCCCCAACGGUAAGAGGACCAGUAGGGGAUAUGAAUGAUGGGCGCCAUAUGUUGUCUGGAGAAGGCGGGACUGCCUCUUCACCAAGAUUCAAGUCAAAACGACGAUCGGAGGGUCCUGACAUUUUCAAAGUGUUGAAGAAAGAAGAGGUCGGACGAAUCAAGAUCUUAGAAGUGCAAGAAGGGAGUUUUCACAAGAAAAAUUCAAGUGUGCUUUGAAACGAACAGCAUGCCUCUAUAAAAAAUCAGCACUCGACGGGAUUUCAGAGAUCGAAGAGGCGAGCUCAGAAUUCGAAGAGGCCAUUCAAAAAUCGAAGAGGCAAGCUCAGAAAUCGGAGAAGCAUCUUGCUUUUCCAGAAGCGUCGGCACCCGUCACACGCAAACUCAGCUUUGCGAAAAUCACGGGCAAUUUGUCGAAGCGCCGAUCCCAGAUAUCGAAGAGGCGCCAGUCUUUUUCAGCCGUGUCAUCACCUGUCAUAUGCACACUCAACUUUGCGCAAAUCACGGACAAUUUGUCGAAAGAUUUUUGGGUGAAGGAGAAAGCACGUGAAGUUUACUGUUCAAUCAUCCAACGGUUGCCGACACGAGUAAAAGAAUAGUACCUCUACAAGUAUUAAAGAACUUCCUAUAACUGUCCACCUUCACCUUCCAUAGCAAGGCAGACAUACAGAGCCUUUCUUCAUCUCUGAGAAUGUCUUCCCAACGAAGCCUCUCGAGUCACUCAGUGUUCCUUAUUCCUUGGGGUACCUCGGCAAGCCAAUGACUCCAAAGCAAAAAUAUCUCAUAUCACCAGGGUAGAAAGCAAGAGUAUCUCAUAUCAUGCGUUCUCCCUGUCCUUUCCUUUGUCCUUGUUCUUACCUACAAAGACAAGGAUAAAGAAAACAAUAUGUCGGAACUUCCACUCAAACUCGGGUAAGGAACCGACUGCUUGGAACCCUUCCCUGAUUGCCUACCUAGCACUGCUCUCGAGUACUCGUUUCGCACUGCUGCUGUACUUUCAAAGAAGCUGCCACAUCUGCCUGAAGAACAGAUAAGGCAAGUGAAAAUGAUACCUUGCAGCAUGUGGAGACAAGGUGCAGAAGGAACAAGCAGAGAAGAAUGCGGUCUGCACGGUCAACUCAGCAGAAGGAGUCCGAACUGAGGAACUCAAGAAGCUGCCAUAUCUGCCUGAAGAAACAAGCAGAGAAGAAUGCAGCAUGCACAAUCAACUCAGCAGAAAGAGUCCGAGAUGAAGAACUCGAGAAGAUGUCGCAUCUGCCUGAGGACGAUGAACUUGUUUUGACCCUCAAAUUCUUGGGUCGACUUACUAGGCGUUGUGGGCUGCACGUGCCGAUUCACCACCCUUGAAUCGAAUCCUUAAAGAUCAAGUCACCAACUGGAAGAAGAGUUCAUCAAUCUUGAAGAUCAUACCGUUGACCAAACUGCUCAGGUGUGAAUUAGAAAGAUUGAACAAAGAAACAGGUUGUCACCUUUACCUCGUGCCUGCUUGCCAUGUGUCCGAGUCAACCUUCAAGAAUCAAGCCUCAACGGCCCUUGAAGAAGUUUCCAGCCAAAUUCAAGAUCAAGCCUCGACGGCCCUUGAGGAAAUCACAAGUCCGAUUCAAGAUUAAGUGUCUACCACCCUUGAAUCAAAACCUAGUUCAAGAAUAAGCUGUGGAAAAUCAACAAUUGGAGGAAUCCAGAAAAUCUUCCAACCCAGUUCAAGAUCAAAGCUGUGGAAAGUCAACAAGCGCAACAAAAUACGUGCCGAUUCAUCCAUUACCAAAGCCAAAGAUCAUCUACCACAUGAAGCUCCUUGUGGUCAAAUUUCAACCUUCAAGAUCAAGCAUCGACGGCCCUUGAAGAAAUUUCAAACAACAAUUCAAGAUCAAGCCUCAACGGCCCUUGAAGAAAUCUCAAGCCCAAUUCAAGAUCAAGCCUCAAUGGCCCUUGAAGAAAUCUCCAGCCCAAUUCAAGAUCAAGCCUCGACGGCCCUUGGAUCGACAUCUACAGUAAGGGACUUCAAAACGCAUCUCCUACACGUGACAAGCACAUGUAUACGACGUGCCUUGAAGUGGGGGCAUUUGUAGACAUCGAAAUUUCGUAAAUAAAUGUUGACCGAUAAAUCAAAGUGUCAACGCUCAUGUAUUACAUAAAUUUUACACGUAGCGUGUGACUCAACGAAAAUUGAAAUGAGUUGGAAAAGUCAUCAAAUAGGACACGUGUCAACGCCUGGCAGAAACGACUUAUUUCAUCUGGAAUAUUAUAUUCAAAAUUAGGCCUUGGAAAAUUCUAUAAAUACAAGCCCAUUUCAUUCAUUUUUAGGGGACCAAUUCACAUUACACCUUAAAGCUCGGAAGCUCUGAAGCUCUGAAACUCCGAAGCUUUCAAGCAUCCAGGUUUCCGAAGAAUCAAGAAAGCCUUCUUCGUUCUUCGUUCAUCGUUCUUCCAAGAUCAAGCCCCGACGGCCCUUGGAUCAACAAUCAUCCACCUUCAAGCCCAAGCCUCAACAGCCCCUUGGAGAAAGUGUUCAUCGUUCAUCAACUGUUCAUCCUCAAGGAUCAAGCCCCAACGGCCCCUUUGGAUUGACAACAUCAACGAAUCCGCUCAUCUCUGUUCAUCAAGUCCAAGCCUCGACGGCCCUUGAAGAAAGCGUUCAUCGUUCAUCACCGUUCUUCGAGAUCAAGCCCAAAAAGCCCUCGAAGAUCCGUUCAAGCCCAAAAGCUCUCGAAGAUCCGUUCGUCACUGUUCUUCGAGUUCAAGCCCAAAAGCCCUCGGAAAUCCAUUCAUCAACUGUUCAUCCUCAAGGAUCAAGCCCCAACGGCCCCUUUGGAUUGACAACAUCAACGAAUCCGCUCAUCUCUGUUCAUCAAGUCCAAGCCUCGACGGCCCUUGAAGAAAGCGUUCAUCGUUCAUCACCGUUCUUCGAGAUCAAGCCCAAAAGCCCUCGAAGAUCCGUUCAAGCCCAAAAGCUCUCGAAGAUCCGUUCGUCACUGUUCUUCGAGUUCAAGCCCAAAAGCCCUCGGAAAUCCAUUCAUCACUGUUCUUCAAGAUCAAGCCCAAAAGCCUUUGAAGAUCCGUCAAUCACCAUUCUUCAAGAUCAAGCCCAAAAGCCCUUGAAGAUCCGUUCAUCCUCGUUCAUCCAAGAUCAAGCCUCGACGGCCCUUGGAUCAAUCGCACAUCCCACAAAUCAACACCUUACGGAGAUCGAAUCAGAGGAUCAAAAUAGAGAGAGAUUGUAACCCAAAACUAUCAAAUACAAAUAUUUGUUUGUGCACGUUUGUUCUUGUCUCUUUCGUUUCAGGAAUUUUCUGUGUUCACAAAACUAUAUUUUCAAAAGUGUUGUGAGUAUGAAAAACAGUGUAAAAGCAGUGUCUAGAAGGAUAAAUGAAGUCAUUGUUUAAAAUAAAUGAGCUUAUUACAGGAAUUAAAGAUAUUCUAAAGGUUCAACUCCGCUUUUUAUUAAAGCAACUUACAUGCUGCUUUUAAAAGUUUUUAUCUGGAGAUCAUUGCUUUUACAAUAAGCAAUCUAUUUUAUUUUUAACACUUUGUUACUGCUUAACUUUUAAGUGAAACAAUUUUUGGUGGAAAAAAGCAAUACCAAACUGGGCAUAAAGAAUCUCAUCUUCACCCCUAAAAUUUCUUUUCAAGCUUCUCUAGUUCUCUCUCACCACGCCCACCUCUCUCCAUCUUUAUCCACAUGUCUCAAAUAUUUUGGAAUUCAAUUCCGAAGGAAGUAAAUUUGAAUGAAAAAGUUACAAUUGAUUUUGAGGUUCACAAAAAAUUACAAACGAUAUUAUAUACACACACAGUAAGGAAGGGUAAAUCGAGCAUAGGACCAACUAACGAAUCUAUUUAUGAAAGACAUAAAAAUUCAGAAGCUCACAUUCUCUCUCAACCCAAUAAGCUGUCUUAACCUCCAUAUAAAGUAAUUGGAGAAAGUCAAAGCUCCACCAAGAAUCUAAUUGACAAUAUGAGGAAUAGCUUAAUUACGUAUAAGUACAUGUAAGGUCCAUCAUUUCAUUAGUUGGGCGGGCAGGGGGUGGGGGGUGGUUUGGGAUUCAUUCUCAAUAGUAAUAUUUAUUCUAUCAAUUUACUGAAAGGUUCUUGAAAUAUUAUUCUACUCUUGCUCUCCUUUGCGAGAGGCGAGUGCUUCCGCGUGCGGUGUGAUGAGGGAGUUUUAAUUCCAAUCGUAGGGUUCCAUUAAAAAAUGACCUGACGCCACUGAGUGUGAUUUCCAAUUGUUUCAAAAUUUAAUAAAUUCAUAAAAGAAAUCAUACAAAUUGAUAAUAGAAAUCCAUAUAAAUUUACGAAAAUUUAUAUAGAAUUGUAGAGUUUAUUAAAACUUUUUGAAGUCUGUAUUUAAAAAAAAAUCUAUUAAAAUCUCUGAAAUACGCAUAAAGCCAUUUACAAACUUCUAAUAAAAAAUUGAACUAGUUGGACGCUAAAACGACAGUAAACUCCAAUACAUACGUCGAUUUCUCAAUAUAUUUAGUCACCUACCGACAAUAAAAAAACCAGAAGUCUUCCGUUCACUCUUGCUCAAUUUCACAGAAAAUUGCACAUCUGCAAAGCAAAGGGUGACAUUCCCCAAAAGUCAAUAGGAACAGAACCUUCAAGGAAAGUGCAAGGCAAGGGCCUUGAAAUCACAAAACAACUGCCCAAAGCCAUGGCAAUAAUAGAUUUUUCAUUGAUACGGGAAUACGGAAUAGUACACCACGUAUCAUUAUAUAAAUGGUGUGAUAUGUGUAUCAAAAAAUUAAUAACUUUAAAAAUAAAAUUUCCCACCAUUUUUAUAAAAACACGUGAUAUAACACUCGUGUUACGAUCACAAUAAAAAAUUUCUUCAUGAAAAGAGACUGGACGGAUACAUACAAAACAGAGCAAGUUAAAUAAUAUUUAAUUAAAAAAGGCAUUGGAGAGACUAAAUCGACAAAAUUAUUCCUGUACACAUCGUGGUUUAUUACUUGUUUAUAGUGAAUACCACGGUCUUUUUUCUCACUAUUUAUUUAGCUUGUAAAUUGAACAAAUAAAAAAACAGCGAAAAAUAGGAGGAGUGCAAGAGAAGAAAACAAGGCAAAAGAAAGGAACAUUCAAAGAAAAUGGAAGGCAAGGACCUUGCAACAAAGCAACAAAAUUAAAUAAGGCAUUAAUCUAAUCUUUCCUGCAGUAUCUUCCAAGUAAGACUUGAGCUAAUGAUAUAAACCAAAACUAAUCACAUUCAGGACUGGUUCCUGGAAAUUGUAGACCUAAAAGUCUUGGUCAAUCCUCAAGGAUAUUUAUGUAAUUUCCGAUCCACCUCACCAUCUUCAACCCUUCUCUUUAAAGCAAGCCCAAAGCAAAGCAAAGAGCAUCCCAACCCAGAAAAAUACCAAAAAUUACAAAAUUCAGAAAAAUGGCUGAUGAAAGGCUUGGAGAGAGGUUGAAUAUCAGUGAAGAGCUUAUACUGGAAAGCUUGUCCUUGAAUGCUCAGAAAUCACCAGGUGAGCUGUUUCUUGUGAAGCAAUCUGGACCAUCAGAUGUUGUUUUCAGCUUUCCUGCAGGAUCUUCGUCCGUGGAGAGUUAUUAUUCUGGAGGUGGUGCUUUUGGAGAAGCAAAAGCCGAUCUCAAAUUCUUUCCUUCCUUGAGAAGUGUCGGGAACUAUGAUCCAGCUGGAAAGCCAGAAGAGAAAGACUUGGCAACUGCAACUAUCAACCAAGCAUUUCUUAACAAAUUUAAACAUGUGUUGGAGAAUUCCCAGCUGAUAGCUAAGGUGUGUUGUUUGAAUUUGAUCUUGAAUUUUGUUGGUGUGUUAGAGGGUAGGUAAUUCUAGUUAACAGGUCGGAUUUAGGUUGAGCAUGUUACAGUGAAGUUUGAGGGCAUAUAUGUAUGAUGUGUUGCAGGCCAAUUCAUUUGUAAUUCAAGUGUUCUCAUCUACUCUUAAUUUUGUCAGGUGCAAGAGGCUAUCAAUCUAGGGAUGAGAAUAAUAUUUACCGGCCACUCUGUCGGCGGCGCAAUCGCUGCGCUUGCCACAAUCUGGUUCUUGGAAAAUUUCCCGAAUGCAAAAAAUGGAUCAUUCUUCUGUGUGACCUUCGGAUCUCCCCUUAUUGGUGACCACCUUAUUUCUCAUGCUCUUAGGAGAGAAAAUUGGUCUCAAUACUUCAUAAAUUUUGUUAUGAGGUGUGACAUUGUCCCUCGAAUUCUGCUUGCUCCUCUCUCAUCCAUUCGUCAAGAAUUCGAGAAAAUCAUCCCCUUCUUCGAUCCAUAUUCCCCCAACUACGCGAGUCAAUCGAUUGGAUCAUCCCCGGAGGCCUUGCAAUUGUUUACAAAUGUGAUGAGCAAUGCAUCAUCUGUUGCAAGCAGUGCAGCCUCUAAACUAAUGGGGAGUCCAAAUCUAUUACUCGAAACUGUAGAGAAUUUCCUUGAGCUAAGCCCUUACAAACCUUUCGGCACUUAUAUUUUCUGUACCGGGAAUGGAAAGCUGGUUGUCUUGAAAAACCCUGAAGCUGUGUUGCAACUCUUGUUCUUUACUUGUCAAUUAAGCAAGGAAGAUGAAUGGGGAACAAUCGCCAGUAAAUGCUUGAACCAGCAUUUGGGAUACAAAAAGGAACUUGAAGACAGCUUGGACAUGCAGAGUGUGACUUAUGACGAUCACUUAGAAACGGUCGCCUUAGCCUCAGAUGGUAUCUUUGAUGACCUUGGCCUGGUAAGUACUUUUUUCCCGAUAUCCAUUUGUACUUGAAAAUAAAAAUUAAAUGGUUAUCACAUGGGCCCUAUGUUUUAUUGCUUGGGGUCUUUAACAUGGUCUGAUAUUUUUCUUGUAACAUUGCAGAGUGCAAGAGCUAGACAAUGCCUUCGUGCAGCGGGAGUAUUCGAGGAGCAAAAACAAAAAAACAAGGGCAAAUUUGAUUCAAAAAAGGAAGAAAUGAAGAUAGAAAUGAAAAAACUGCAAGACUACCGAGACUAUUACGAGCACAAUGAGGGAUACUACGACGCGUUCAAGCUUCAAAAGAACAAAAAUGAUUUCGAAGCAAAUGUGACAAGGCUUGUGCUUGCAGCCAUAUGGGAUGAGAUUACCGAAAUGCUGAAAAAAUAUGAUCUUCCCGAUGAAUUUGAGGCUAUAUCAGAUUGGGUAGAGCUUGGAACUGAAUUUCGCCACCUUGUCGAGCCUCUUGACAUUGCUAACUUCUACAGACACGCAAAGGGCGAAGAUACCGGAGUCUAUAUGAAGAGAGGCAGGCCAAAGCGUUACAAAUACACACAAAGAUGGCUCGAGCACAAACUAAAACUGCCAGCAGGUUCCCGGGGGGAGUCCUGCUUUUGGGCAGAGUUGGAGGAGUUGCACAAACUUUCUGGUGAUCUCCCGGCGGUGAACAAGGAGAAAGAGAGGGUCUUGAAACUUCAGAGACAAGUAGGACAAUGGAUUCAGGACGGGGUUCUCCGCGAGGAUGUGUUGAAGUCAUCAACCUUCCAGCAAUGGUGGAGCAAACUCCCCAAUGACCUCAAAACAAACCCGAUUUUGGGACUCAUGAAUGGUUCAGGAAGUAUGCAGGUGUAGUAGUACGAAGUGAUAAUAAGAGGACGGAUGAGGGGCGUAGCCGAGUUGGCUAAGGCAAUUUGCCUACUUCCGUUCUGCACCCAAGUUCAAAUUCGCUCUCCAUAAUUUGGUGUUUGUUGUACUAUCUGUGUUUUGCUUUGUUUUCACUUGUAAUAGUCCACUAUGCACACGAGUUCGAAUCCGCUCCCCAUUAUUCGGUGUUUGUUGUAUCUGUGUUUUGUUUUGGUGUAGUUUUCAUUUGUGAUCGUCCAAUCAUUACAGUUCUCAUUGUAAUAGUUUUGGUUCCAGAUAUGCAAUGAAUGCUACAUUACAAAUAACAUUCAUAAUUUUUUUAGGGUUGUGAUAUCCGCACACCCGAUUUUACUUCUCACACACCCUUCUAAUUUUCGGCCGUUGGAUCGGAUUAAUUGAAGAAGAUCAACGGACAAAAAUUAACAAGGGGUGUGUGAGAAGUAAUUUGGGGUGUGUGGAUAGCACACCCCUUUUUUUAAGGCAACCAGAAGGGUCGCAGAAACACACGUGUUGAGUUUGUGUGGCUCGAUAUAUGUGUAGAAAUUUUUCAGUGUGUUCAGAAACACAGUUUGAUAUAUCAAAUAUUAUUAUACAAUCGGUUGAGAUUUUUUUUUUUCAAGUUUUCAACCAAAUGUAUUAUUACACUUGGUGUAACCGAUCGUGUUUUUAGCACAUUGAAAAUAUCUCUGUGGAUAUGGAUGGACGUAAUUAUACACUUAAAAAGUACCACAAUAAUAUACGAGUUUAAAUAGGUGCUAAUAGCGUUGAUGAAAAAAGAGAAAUCAGAUUACUUAACUACAAUGCAUUUUCCACAAAUUAAACCGGAAACAACUUUUUAAUUAAAAAUAGAACGCAAAGAACACUAAACCAACAAUAAAAAAUAAAAAAUAAAAAUAAAAAUAAAAAAAAUAAAAAAAAACAAAACCAGUGUCUUACCACAGAUUCCUUGUAGCUCAAUUUCACAGUAAAUUUCCAAAUCGACAGAGCAAACAUAAUUUCCUGCAAAUCAAGAAAGAAUGAAGUUACAACAACUAAGGAGUAAGAUUUUCUUCCCUCUUUUUUUUCCGUCUCCUUCCAUCUCCUCCUAUUUGAACGGUUACGGUUAAAUCACGUUAACAUCUUAAAUUAAUUUUUUAUAGAAAAAGAAAAAUAAAAUAGAGAAUGUGAAAACAAGAAAGGAAAGGAAAUAAAAAGAGAAAGGGAAAUAAUCUUAGUUCGAAGAGCUAUAGUUCCUAGAAGUUGUGGUUGACUCACAGGUGAAGUACAGCAAGUCAAGCCCCGUCAACCACGUCAAGCAAUAAUUGUUUAAAGGCAAUAGAAACUUGGAUUACGAUAUCUCAUAUCUCGAUCACGUUAUUCAUAAAAUAUUUUUUGAAGUAAAUUGUAAUAAUGAUCUCUAAAUUUUAAUUAAAUUAGAGCAAUAGUCUCUUAACUAAAAAUUUAUAAUCAUUGAUCCCUCAACUCAUCAAAAUAUGUAGUUAUAGUCAUUUUCGUCAACUUCGUUAGAAUUUUGUCAAAAUAAGUUAUGUUGAAAGAAACAUUGCCACAAUUAGGGUCCCUCAACUCAUCAUAACGUGUAGCUAUGGUCAUUUUCAUCAACUUCGUCAGAAUUUUAUCAAAAUGAGUUAUGUUGGAAUGACCAUUGUUACAAUUGGACUAAAGUUGAGGGACCAUUGCUACAAUUGAGUUAAAGUUGAGAGACCAUAGCUGCAUGUUUUGAUGAGUUGAGGGUCUAAUGGUAAUGGAUUUAGUUAAAGAAUUAUUAUUUUAAUUAAGUUAAAAUUAAGAGACCGUUGAUACAAUUUACUUAAAAAAACAAAAUGAAAGUAACUAUUAAUUUAUUGUAUACGCAUGGAAGACCACGUCAUCUGCACACCUACUCGCAACUAAGCGGGCUUUUGGUGGACCUCAAUAAAAACACGGUUGUUCUUGAUUGUGUGUGUGGGAUUACGGAUGACGAGGUGCUUUGGAUGGAAUCAAGAAUUCCUCCAAAAACCAGAAGGCCAAGUCUUUGGUCAAUGCUUCAGGGGUAUCCUUGUAAUUUCUUCAUCCAUCCCACCAUCUCCGAGCCGCAAUACCCAUAUCAAAUCAUCAAAAAACCAGAACGAAGAAAAAACACCAAAAAUACCAUAAUUCAGAAAAAUGGGUAGUGAAAGGCUUGGAGAGAUGUUGAGUAUAAGUGAGGAGCUUAUCAAGAAAAGCUGUUAUCUUUCCUUCCAGGCGCACAAAUUCCCAGAUGAUCUGUUUCGUGUCGAAAAAUUUGCUGCAGGAUCAUCAGAUGUUGUUUUCAGCUUCCCAGGAUCUUGGUCUGUGGAGAGUUGGGCUUCUGUAGAAAGUGCUUUUGGGGACAAAAAGAUCCAACUUUCACUCUUUCCUUCCAUGAAAAGCGUAGGUUAUUAUGAUGAAGCUGCAGGACCUGAUGAGCACCAAGAUUUUGCAACUGCAAGUUUCAACCAAGCCUUUCUGCAAAAGUUUGAACAUCUAUUGCAGAAUUCCCAGCUUAAAAAUAAGGUAUUUGUUAUUUUUAUUCAUUUGCUAUACACUAUAGUUGAGGGCGAGCGCAAUAGAAAUGUUGCCAGUCGUGAAAACAACUUUUUUGCAAAGCAAGAGUAAUGUUGCGGAUUAUAGACGUUCUCCCAACCUUUGUAAAGUGGAAAACAUGUUAGCUUGAUCAUCAUUUUUAUUCUUUACUAUUGUUUAUUUUAACGAAAAAUCAUAUUUUUACAUUAAAAAAUUAAUUCUGGAAUUAUACACUUUACCCUUUAUUUUUUCCUUAUCGUUAAAAUUCAAAGUUUUCAAGUUAUUUUCAUUAAAUUGUCUAGGAAACUUGAAUAAAAAACUCUCAGAUACUGUUCACUUUUAACGAAAAAUCAUAUUUUUAUACUAAACACAAAAUAUAAAUGAGUGUACUCAUGAUGAAAAUAAUAUAUAAGUGCCAAAACUAAUGCGGAUUUUUCAUGUAUAAGGACUUAAUAGCAUUAUGAUUUAAAGAAAAACGCUUCAAAUCCAAUACUUUGGAAAAUUAGCUUUCCGAUUUUAUAUGAGGAGGGCGCCAAAGCAUUUAUGCAAUUAAGAAUCAGCUAGAACAUAACAAGUGAAUAGUAGAGGGAUUUUUCCUCUCGAUGAGCCAUUUAAGUUGUAUAAAAUGUACAGUUUUCAAUGCGUUUUUCGUAGUUUACUAGCCUAAUAACACUGAGACGUUGUAUAGUUGGGGUGUGCUAUUCAUAUACCCCUUUUUACUUUUCACACACUCCUCGUAGAUUUCUGUCAUUUAUAUUUUUCAAUUCAUCUGACCCAACGGUUGAAAAUUAGAAAGAUGUAUAAAAAGUAUAAAUGAGUUUGUGGAUGUCACAACCCUUAUAAUAAAACCCUACACCUUUGGCUAUGCUUUAGUAGGCCCCUAUAUAAUGUGUUGCAGGAUGUUAAUUAAUUCGUAAUUCAGAUGGUCUUUCAUUCCUAUUUCUCUCAGGUGCAAGAGGCUAUCAAUGAAAAGAAGAGAAUAGUAUUUACCGGCCACUCUACCGGCGGAGCAACUGCUGUGCUGACCACAAUCUGGUGCUUGGAAAAUUAUCCGAAACAAAGCAAUGGAACAUUUUUCUGUGUGACAUUCGGAUCUCCCCUUAUUGGUAACCAUAUUAUUUCCCAUGCCGUUAGGAGAGAAAAUUGGUCUCAAUACUUCAUACAUUUUGUCAAGAGAUAUGACAUUGUCCCUAGAAUUUUGCUUGCUCCGCUCUCGUCGAUUCAACAUGAAUUCGAGAGGAUCCUCCCCUUCUUCGAUCCAAAAUCCCCCGCUUACGCGAGUGAAUCAAUUGGAUCAUCCGUGGAGGCCUUCCGUUUGUUUACAAAUGUGAUGAGAAAUGCAGCAUCUCUUACAACUCAUGCUGCCUCCAAACUGCAGGGGAGUACCAACCUAUUACUAGAAACUGUAAAAAAGUUCGUUAAGCUAAGCCCAUACAAACCUUUUGGAACUUACAUUUUUUGUACCGGGAACGGGAAUUUGGUUCUUAUGAAAAACCCUGAAGCUGUGCUGCAAGUCUUGUUCUACUCGUGUCAAUCGAGCAGCGAAACUGAAUGGGCAACGAUCGUGCUUAAAUGCCUAAAGGAGCAUUUGGCCUACGAGAAUGAGCUUGAAGGCAGCUUGGACAUGCAGAGUGUGACUUGUGAUGAUAACCUAGAAACGCUCCCCUUAGCCUCAGAUGGUUUCUUUGAUGACCUUGGCUUGGUAAGUACUCUUUUCGUUUCAACGAUACUAUAUUUGCUUCUUUUCAAAAUAAUACAUUCUAACGAUGUCUAAAAUCGCAGAGCGAAAAGGCUAGAUUAUGCCUUCGUGCAGCGGGAGAAUUCGAGAAGCAAAAACGAAGAAACCAGGAAAAAGUAAGUUCAAAAAUGGAGAUGAUCAGGAAACAUUUGAAAGUAAUCGAAGAGUACCGAGCCUUAUGCGAGCACACUGUCGGAUAUUACGACGCCUUCAAAAUUCAUAAAGACAAGACAGAUUUCAAGGCUAAUUUGAGCAGGAUUGAGCUAACAGGUAUAUGGGAUGAGAUCAUUGAGAUGUUGAAAAGAUACGACCUUCCCGAUGAACUCGAGGCUACGAAGGAGUGGAUAAAUCUAGGAACCAGGUUUCGCCGCCUUGUCGAGCCUCUCGAUGUUGCUAACUACUACAGGCACUCCAAGGACGAAGACACAGGACCCUAUAUGAAGAAAGGCAGGCCAAAGCGAUACAAAUGCAUGCAAAGAUGGCUCGAGCACGAACAGAAACUGCAAUCUGGUUCAUGCGGGGAGUCCUGCUUCUGGGCAGAUGUGGAGGAGUUGCACAAGCUUUCAGGAAACUUCGCGGCGGUGUACGGCGAAAGGGAGAGGGUUUUGAGAGUUCAGGAGCAAGUAGGAAAAUGGAUUCAGGACGGGUUGAUCGGUACGGAUGUGUUGCUGAAGUCGUCCACCUUCGAGAAGUGGUGGAGCAAGCUCCCUACUGACCUCAAAACAGAAACGAUUUCGAGACGCAUGAAUGGUUUAGGAAAUGUGCAAGCGUGGCAGUAGGGACCGAUAAUAAGAUGUUUGCCUGUUCCUGUAAGCCUUGCAGCAUAACAGCAAAAUCAUUGUAUUUACCAAUUGCAAUUAGGGAUGGGCAAAAUAUUCAUGGGUUUGGGUAACCGUGGUUACCCGUCCAUUUAAAGUUCAUGGUUAUGGUUAUGGGUAUAACGGUUUAUCCGUGAAAUUUAAAUGAACGGUUAUGAGUAUUACCUGCGGUUAUAACGGGUAUCUAUUUACCCAUUUAAUUUAAUAUAUGUAAAAUUUUAAAAAAUAAAAUAAAAACCCUAAAUUUUCAAUCUCUGAGCUAGACUCAGAGUCUCAAACGCCCCGUCCCCCGCUCAUCUUUCCCUCCUCACUGCCCUCUCUCAUCUCCGCCGCUCAUCUCUCUCCUCACCGCCCCUUCUCUCAUGCUAAUUGGUGUCGGUGUUCUUAAAUGGGAAUACUAACUCAAUUUAUACAUUUUUUUGUAGGCCUCUUUUGGUGACGAGUCGAUGAGACUUUGUAAUUGAAUGUGCUAAAGCAUUAGUGUUCGAAAAUGUUUAGUUUCGGAAUAUUUUGGAGCUUUGAAUCAUCUAGUAUUCAAGAUAAUGACUAUUUUUUAAUUUUAGAAGCUUUACCUUGUAAUCAUAUGGAUUAUAAUUUAAGACUUGCUGGGUGUAGCAGAAAAAUAUUGUUUGUAAACUAUUAUUUCAAUUAUUGGAAUUGUAUGAAGACUUAAAUGAUUAAAAUAGGGAAAUGCAUGCUAAAAUGUACCUAUAACGGUAUUUAAUUGUCAAAAAACGAAAAUUAUGACAAAAUUUUCUUUUAUAAUUUUCAAGUUGUUAAAAAAAACAUGUAGACAGAUAAAAAAAGGGUAAAUAGGUAAAAAAAAAAAGGGAUAAACAAGUUCAAAAACGGGUAAACGGUUAUGGUUAAAUGGGUAAACGAUUAUGGUUAAAUGGGUACAUGUUUAUGUAUAUGAUUAACCGUUUAUGUAAUUACCUAACGGAUAAACGAUUAUACGGGUAUGAACAUAAACAGUUAUGGGUAAAUAACCGCGAUUAUCCACCCACCAUAACCGUUACCCAUCGUAGUUACAACCUGAAUUUUUCGUGGAUUUGUUCGUUUUCGAGGUCAAAUUCGAUAUGUCCGACGUACUCGAGAUCAAACUAAAAUGAAUUAAUCAUAGAAAAACAUAAUUCGAAUGAGUUCGCUACAACAACAACAACAACAACAAAGCCUUUUCCCACUAAGUGGGGUCGGCUAUAUGAAUCCUAGAACGCCAUUGCGCUCGGUUUUGUGUCAUGUCCUCCGUUAGAUCCAAGUAAUCAAGUCUUUUCUUAGGGUCUCUUCCAAAGUUUUCCUAGGUCUUCCUCUACCCCUUCGGCCCUGAACUUCUGUCCCGUAGUCACAUUUUCGAACCGGAGCGUCAGUAGGCCUUCUUUGCACAUGUCCAAACCACCGGAACCGAUUUUCUCUCAUAUUUCCUUCAAUUUUGGCUAUUCCUACUUUACCUUGGAUAUCCUCAUUCCCAAUCUUAUCCUUUCUCGUGUGCCCAUACAUCCCACGAAGCAUCCUCAUCUCCGCUACACCCAUUUUGUGUACAUGUUGAUGCUUCACCGCCCAACAUUCUGUGCCAUACAACAUCGUUGGCCUUAUUGCCGUCCUAUAAAAUUUUCCCUUGAGCUUCAGUGGCCUACGACGAUCACACAACACGCCGGAUACACUCUUACACUUCAUCCAUCCAGCUUGGAUUCUAUGGUUGAGAUCUCCAUCUAAUUCUCCGUUCUCUUGCAAGAUAGAUCCUAGGUAGCGAAAACGGUCACUUUUUUGUGAUCUUCGCUAGAUUGCUCCGGUCAUUAGUGUGGAUAAGUAUAUAAAUGGAUAGAGAUAGGAAAGCAAACACAAGAUGUACGUGAUUCACCCAGAUUGGCUACGUCCACGGAAUAGAGGAGUUCUCAUUAAUUGUGAAGGGUUUACACAAGUACAUAGGUUCAAGCUCUCCUUUAGGGAGUACAAGUGAAUGAUUUAGUACAAAUGACAUUAGGAAAUAUUGUGGGAGAAAUGAUCUCGUAACCACGAAACUUCUAAGUCCCGGAGUGUGGUAUCGGCUUGACUUUCCUUAUCUGUCUCAUAGGUAGAUGUGGAAUCUUCUCUGGAAGUACUCUUUCCUCCAUCCAGGGGUGGUAUCUGUAACUGGUGGAGAUGCACAAGGUAAUGUAUCAAUGUCACUUGAAGCUUACUUGUAGUUUCAGGCUUGGUCAAGCGCGAUACAAACCAUGUAGUAGGAGUCCCCCAAGUCGCCGAGCUAGGGGAUCUGCUGAAAGAGGUAACAGACAAGGUAAGCAAUCAGAGCUCCGGCUGAUUGUUCACAUUCUCCCUAUCUUGCAGGCAGCAUGAAGGAUAAAGAGAAGAAAAAUGAGAAGAGAGAUGAUAUGGGAUACUUUUGCUUUUGAAGAAGUAACUUUCCACAGGCUUAUUCUUGAACUGGGCUGGAGGGUUUUCUGGUUUCCUCCAAAGUAUAAGGCCGACUGAAGAAUUUGAGGGUCAAAACAAGUCCAUCAAAUCUAGAGUACGUUCGACCCUGCUGAUAUGGGAUACUUUUGCUUUUGACAGAGUAGUGGAUAUAUCGGCACGUGUGCUGUUACGCUUGUCUCCACAUGCUUCCUUGUAUCCUUCUCACUUGCCCUAUCCUCAGGCAGAUGCGGUAUCUUCCUUGGAAGCAUAAGAUGUUGAAGAUGAGUACUCGAGAGCAAUGCCAGGGUAAGGGGUUCCAGGCAGUCAGUUCCUGGCUGGAAGCUUGAUUCCAAGUGCUGACUGAUUGCUCUCUUUCUCCUUGUCUUGCAGGUAAGAACAAGGCCAAAGGAAAAGACAGGGAAAAAGCAUGAUAUGGGAUACUCUUGCUUUUAACCCUGGUGAUAUGAGAUAUUCUUGCUCUAGUAUAGCUUGUUUACAGAGGUAUUAUCGGGGGAAAGAAAGCUGAAUAUUUUGAAAGGCUUCGUUGGGAGUGCCCUCUCAGAUAAGAGGAAGGGUUGAGCAUUUUUUGCAGGUCUGCCUGUCCGUUGGGGAUGGAGGUCGCCAUAUAUAGGAGUCUCCCUAACAUCAAGUAAUAAUGCUAUUCCUUUACCCUGCUUGGUCAUAGCACGGUAGUGGGAGCUGCCAGCUUCACAAGUUUUAAACUCUGUCAGAGCACUUUGAAAAAAGUGGUCUGUGGUAUCUGGAAAGCUGAUGUUGCAUGUGAAGAUUACAGACAAGCUUUAUCCAAGGAGAUCCGGCUCUUGAAGUUGGGAAAGUGGUGCCUCUUCGGUUUUCGAACAAGCAAUCCUGUCGGGGAUCUGGCUCUCGAGAUUCGGAGAACGAUGCCUCUUCGAUUUUUUGAGAAAGCAAUCAUGCUGGGGGUCUGGCUCUCGAGAUUCGGAGAGCGGUGUCUUCGAUUUUUGAGAAAGCAAUCAUGCUGGGGGUCUGGCUCUCGAGAUUCGGAGAGCGGUGUCUUCGAUUUUUGAGAAAGUAAUCAUGUUGGGAGUUGGGAGUGUUUUCUCGAAUAUGAGUAAAGGUUGGGCAUGUUUGCUAGUCUACCUUGCCACGAAGCACAGAGGUUGACACACAGGGACUUUCCAAUUAUCCAGCAGUGGUACUGUUCCUUUACCCUCUCUUCGAUUUUUGAGAAAGUAAUCAUGUUAGGAGUCUGGCUCUCGAGAUUCGGAGGGCGGUGCCUCUUCGAUUUUGGAGCAAGCAAUCUUGUUGGGGGGUGUUUUCUCGAAUGUGAGUAAAGGUUGGGCAUGUUUGCUAGUCUACCUUGCCACGAAGCACAGAGGAUGACACACAGGGACUUUCAAAUUAUCCAGCAGUGGUACUGUUCCUUUACCCUCUAUUCGAUUUUUUGAGAAAGUAAUCAUGUUGGGAAUCUGGCUCUCGAGAUUCGGAGGGCGAUGCCUCUUCGAUUUUGGGGCAAGCAAUCUUGUUGGGAGUGUUUUCUCGAAUGUGAGUAAAGGUUGGGCAUGUUUGCUAGUCUAUCUUGCCAUGAAGCACAGAGGUUGACACACCGGGACUUUCCAAUUAUCCAGCAGUGGUACUGUUCCUUUACCAUUGUGGGUAAUAAUAUGGUAGCUAGGCCGUCAAAAUUUAUGUGUCUAAACUUUGUUAGUGUUGUUUCUUUGCUAUUCUUUUACCCUUCUUGGUCAGAGCGAUGUAGUGAGAGUUGCAAGCUUCACGUGUCUCGACUUUGUCAGAGAACUUUGGCAAAGUUAUAUGUGGUACCCAUGAGCUACUGUUGCGUGUGGGAAGUGGGUGAUUGAACAGUACGAUUCAUGUGCUUUCUACUUCGCCAGAAAUCUUCGACAGAAUGCCCAUAAUUUCCGCAAAGCUGAGUGUGCGUGUGACAGGUGCUGACAAGGCUGGAAAAAGUAGUCUCAACUUUGUCAGAGAACUUUGGCAAAGUUAUAUAUGUGGUACCCAUGAGCUACUGUUGCGUGUGGGAAGUGGGUGAUUGAACAGUACGAUUCAUGUGCUUUCUACUUCGCCAGAAAUCUUCGACAGAAUGCCCAUAAUUUCCGCAAAGCUGAGUGUGCGUGUGACAGGUGCUGACAAGGCUGGAAAAGUAGGUGCCUCUUCGAUUUUCUGAGAUCGACCCUCGUGGUCUCUGAGCAGCCCAGCUUUUGAGAAAGCAAACCUCUUCGAUUUCUGAGAUCGGCCCUCGUGGUCUCUGAGCAGCCCAGCUUUUGAGAAAGCAAACCUCUUCGAUUUCUGAGAUCGGCCCUCGUGGUCUCUGAGCAGCCCAGCUUUUGAGAAAGCAAACCUCUUCGAUUUCUGAGAUCGGCCUUCGUGGUCUUUGAGCAGCCCAGCUUUUGAGAAAGCAAACGCCUCUUCGAUUUCUGAGAUCGACCCUCGUGGUCUCUGAGCAGCCCAGCUUUUGAGAAAGCAAACGCCUCUUCGAUUUCUGAAGCUUCGUCGAGUGCAGAUUUUUAUAGAGGCUAACAUUAAGUUCCAAAGCACACUUGAAUAUCCACCUGUAGAAGCUCCAUUCUUGCACUUCUAAGAACUUGAUUUGUCCGACCUCUUCUCUCUUCUACACCUUUGAAAAUGUCUGGCCCCCUCCGACCGUCGUUUUGACUUGAACCUUGUUGAAGAGGCAGCCCCGCCUUCUCCAGACAACAUAUGGCGCCCAUCCUUCGUCUCCCCUACUGGUCCUCUUACCGUUGGGGAUUCCGUGAUGAAGAAUGAUAUGACCGAUGCCGCUGCGGUAGUGGCCAGGAACCUUCUCACUCCCAAAGAUAACAGACUACUUUCCAAACGGUCUGAUGAGUUGGCUGUUAAGGAUUCUCUGGCUCUUAGUGUUCAGUGUGCAGGUUCUGUGUCUAAUAUGGCACAACGCCUAUUUGCUCGAACCCCGCCAAGUUGAAUCAUUGGCGGCUGAAGUGAUGAGUCUCAAAACAGGAGAUUAGAGGGCUCAAGCAUGAGAAUAAACAGUUGCACCGGCUCGCACAUGACUAUGCUACAAACAUGAAGAGGAAGCUUGACCAGAUGAAGGAAUCUGAUGGUCAGGUUUUACUUGAUCAUCAGAGAUUUGUGGGUUUGUUCCAAAGGCAUUUAUUGCCUUCGUCUUCUGGGGCUGUACCGCGUAAUGAAGCUCCAAAUGAUCAACCUCUGAUGCCUCCUCCUUCUAGGGUUCUGUCCAGUACUGAGGCUCCGAAUGAUCCCCCUCCGGUGCCUUCUCUUUCUGGGGCUCUACCGACUUCCCGACUUCGAGACUUCUCCUAAGCAACCUUUGUGAAGGCUCCCUCUUGUUUUUGUUUAUUUUGACUCAAGUAUAUGUACAUAUUUGUAAUUUAUCAAGAUAUCAAUAAAUAAGCUUUCCUUCAUUUCAACGUAUUGUGUGUUAAAUCACCAAAGCCUUCUUCGCUAAGUUCUUUGAAUUUUCUUUUGUUGAAGCUUGUAUGUUGGAGCUUUGUGAGUGGAGCAUGUAGGUUGAGGUAGUGUUCCCUUAAUUUUCCCGAACGAGGACAACUUCUCGGUUGGAGACUUGGAAAAUCCAAGUCACUGAGUGGGAUCGGCUAUAUGAAUCUUAGAACGCCAUUUGUGUUCUGUCCUGUGUCAUGUCCUCCGUUAGAUCCAAGUACUCUAAGUCUUUUCUUAGGGUCUCUCUCAAAGUUUUCCUGGGUCUUCCUCUACCCCUUCGGCCCUGAACCUCUGUCCCAUAGUCGCAUCUUCU